rnacentral:lncRNA from 1 species
UUUAAAAGUAUCUAGCUCAAUUUUAUAUAUAAUAUAUAUAUAUUAUAUAUAUAUAUAUAUAUAUAUAUAUAUAGUGAAUGAUCGGAUUCUUCAAUUUAAGAUCGAAGUUAUUGAUCUUUAUCUAUGUGGUGAGUAGAAUUUUCUAUCAAAAAUUCAACCAAUUUCGAUUCUUUUACACCGUUAGACUAGCAAAUAUCUCAUACCGACCGUUCAAAUUGUCAAUUUUGUGACGUUUUGAUCAUAAGAUAAAUGAUGUCGAAAAUUUAUAAAAUUUGAUUUCUAGAUGUUUUAAAUGCUCUAGAUAACGUUAAACGUGUGGAUUGUCAAUUCGGAAGCUCUAUCAUUAAAAACAACUUAUGAGUACGAGCACGAUCGUACUCAUAAGAAUAUAGUAGCCGAACUCUAUAUAGGCUAGGACUACUAUACUCUUAUGAGUAUAGAGCACUUCAUACUCAUAAGUUGUUUUUAAUGAUUGAGCUUCCGAAUCGACGAUCCACUCCGUUAAAUAUGAUCUAAAGUAUUUGAAACUUCUAAAAAAUAAAUUUCGUAAUUUUUUGAAAUCAUAAUAAAGUUCAUCAAACGAGUAUAAAAUGAACGGUCAAAAUCGAACGAUGUCUUAAAAAUAAAUAAUCGGAUCCUUCAAUUUAAGAUCGAAGUUAUUGAUCUUUAUCUAUGUAGUGAGUAGAAUUUUCUAUCAAAAAUUCAACCAAUUUCGAUACUUUUACACCGUUAAACUAGUAAAUAUUCCAUACCGACCAUUAAAAAUUGUCAAUUUUGUGACCUUUUGAUCGUAAGGUAAAUGAUGUCGAAAAUUUAUAAAAUUUGAUUUCUAGAUAUUUUAAAUGCUCUAAAUAAUGUUAAACGGUGUGGAUCGUCAAUUUUGAAGUUUUAUCAUCGAAAACAACUUAUAAGUACGAGCGCGAUCGUACUCAUAAGAGUAUAGUAGCCGGACUCUAUAUAUAUAUAUAUAUAUAUAUAUAUAUAUAUGUGUGUGUGUGUGUGUGUGUGUGUGUGUGUGUGUGUGUGUGUGUGGAGUUUGGCUAGAAUACUAUUGAUAGCAAAUGGCUAUUUUUACUAUUAAGUUUUUAGCCUUUAGAUCAAUUACUUUCAUCAUUUCUAUCCAUUGGAUUAAAUAUUAUAAUCCAGUGGGGACCACUCAACCCUACUGGGACCACUCAACCCUAAAAGACUAAUAUCAUUCUAACGCUACAAUUUCUCAUCUAAGAGUUAAAAACUUGAUAGCAAAAUGGAUCUUUUGCUAUCAAUAGUAUUCCAGCAUAGCUCUAUAUAUAUGAUGAACUAGGCUAGAAUACUAUUAAUAGAACCAAGUCAUUGGUGCUAUUAAGUUUUCAGCCCUUAGAUAAAGCGAUGUGCGGUUAGAAUGAUAGUGGUUCCCUAGGAUUGAGUGGAUGAUUUGUUAAAUAGUAUGAUCUAAUGAAUAGAAAUGGUCAGAUGAGUAGAUCUAACAGCAAAAACCUUGGUAGCAUCAAGUACUUGAUGCUACCGAUAGCAUUGUAGCCGGAUUCUAUAUAUGAUAUAAUAGGGCUAAAAUCUUUUAAUCUGACUAUAACAUUUUAGGUAGCGAUAAGAUCCAAGAGGUUAGAGAGAAGCGUGUUAGGAUUAGAGUAAUCCUAAAAUGGGUGACCCCCUGAAAAAUGGGGCGACACAAUUAUGCCCUAUACAAAAAAAAGCAUAUAUUCAGUACAAACAAUCGCAUUUCGAAUAACAUCUCUAUUCAAAAGAAAAAGAACAUUUAUAGCGAACUCGAACUUAAAUAACCUUCUAAAAAAAUUUUAGCUGAACAUAAAAUUUACUCUCAAAUAUAGAAAAUCCUCCUCAAUAUACCGCAUGUUACACUUUACCCCCAUAGAUGUAAAAAAUAUGCAUUGAAACCCUCUCAAAAGAUAAAAAAUAACUUAUUAGAUUAUAGUGUUAAAAAAAUAGUUAAAUGAUCAAAUAUACUUUCAUAUUUUACUUUUUUUUUCUCCUCAGGAGGGUGAAGUGCACAUAUCUUUUUUAUUAUCUAAGAGGUUAAGUACUAAGGAAGUAAGUUUUCUGAGCGUUAAAUACAUAUUUUGUUGCAUUCAAGAAGUUAAAUGCAACAUGUACGUAAUAUUUGAAGAGAAUAAAGUGCAUCUUAGCCUAUAAUUUAAUUAUUUAUAUAGAACGAAUUUGGAGCGAAAAUCGGAUGGACGGAUUAGGGAUGAUUUAUUAUCCUUUUGUUUAUUGUUUUGUCAAGAUAAAAAAAAAUUUCUGGCUAGUCACUACUAGAAAAGUGCUAACAACGGACAAUCUGAUUGGGGAGGAAGUCUACAGUAUCACACUUAUACUAUAUCAUCAGCAACAAAUCAAUCAUAUCUCUUUUCUUGAGAGAAAAAUACAAUAAAAAUAUUUUUCUAUUAAUUAUGAUGGGACGAGUGAAUCGAACGAAAUAAUUUUAUUUAUUAGGGACGCCACGUCAGCAAUAUAACUGAUAUAUUAUAGAAUUUUUCCUAGUUGGUGUUGGAGAAAAUCCAAAAUCUCUAAAUAUCAUUAAAUUUUAUAAUUACUCUCAUUUAUUAUGUUAAUUAAUUUGAUGAAUUAAAUUUGAUUUAUUUCUUCUUAAUGCCACAUAAAGGCAUGAAUUAAGUGGAAUUAAUGUUGGGAAAGUUGGAAUCCCAACGUGCCAUUCUCUCUCCAUUAUAUAUAUAAUGGAUUGCACUGUUUAUCUACAAUGAACAGUGCUGAGAGAGAGAUUUAAGUGAAAAAAUGAAAGUAGAAACUUUAUUUAAUUCUUUAUUUUAUUGUGUUUUGAUCUUUUUAUCAUUGGGUGUUGAAAGAGUCUCCGUCAACCUCCUUCACGAUCGUGCUCGCAGGAGAAGGAAUUCCGGUCGUAUCUUGAGGUAUUGUUUCCGGUUAAUCCCGCACGUAAGGACGGGAAUACGCUUUAGGGUACUGCCUCGCACGCUUCCGGAUCAAUUAAGUAUUUAUUUGGAUUUAGCGAUCAUCUGUAAAUUGAUUUAUUUAUUUUCAUAAUAAAAUCUAGUUAGAUUUAAAUCACAAUUAAAUUUCUGUGCGGCAUUUGUUCCAAUAGUUGGGACGGGUUGGCCUUACAAACGCAGUGUGCUCCCUUUGUCUGUCGGCUCUGAAACGGCACUUCGCAUAUUCAAGCAUGCAUUGCAGCCACUCAAAGGAAGUGCUGACCAAAACCGGCGCUGCUCCACUCAUCCAUCUCUGAUCUGUUUUAUUUACUCCGACUGGACUCUCUCUCAAGGAUUAAUUGUUGCGUCCAAUCGAGGAUGUCCCUCUCCCCAACUGCACGUCCCAGUUUUUGAGCUCUUCUGGAGUGCUCUUCUCUGGUCUGGUCAACUUGGAAUGAGCGAAACCGAAGAAUUUUUUAACCCAAGUCCACUGCUGUCAGUGCGCUCGCCCGAUCAACUGUGAUGGGAAUCCUAAAGUUUUGGCACCCAGGAGCUGACGAGAAGACGAAGAAAAUCUUUACAUAUUGUCUCAUAUAUAUAUAUAUAUAUAUAUAUAUAUAUAAAAUGUCCUAGUUUAAAUUUUUGAGAACAAUAAUUAUUUUAUAUUUUUUUAUGUGAUAUCAGAGUUAAUUAUAAAUCCCUUAUUCUAUGAAAUCGUGGGUCCAACCCCACCUUGAACAUUUAUUAUGGAAUGGGUUAAUCGUUAUUUUUUUAUCUUACCUAUUAAUUUUAGGUGCCUUUUAUAUCUAUAUAUAUUUUCUUGCUCGUUUUAUACUAGGUUAGUAUUUUGGAUAAUUUGGUAUUAAAGUAUGAGAUUUUGAGCUCGAGUCUGUCACACUUCUAGCAUUAUUUAAUUUUCUUCUAUUUAAUUAACUCUAUAUUCUAAAAAAAAAAUCGAGCUUAAACAUAAGAGAGAGUGCUGAAUAUAAAAUAUAAAAAAAAUAAUAUUCUCUACAAUAGUUUGUAUUUUUGAAGAACAACAAUUAUUUCACAUGCUUUGACAGGCUAAAAUGGAUUACAAAAUUUAUUUAAACUGUGGACCAUUAAGUUGGCUAUUUAUACCUUUCAAAGAUUUGAUUUUAUUAUACAAUGUUUUAAUUUUUUUGACUUACGUCAGUCAAAAAUGUGUCGUUUGUCUUUACAAAUUUAAUUAGUAUAUUUCAUGCCAUUCUUGUAAUUAUAUAUUUAUUAAAAUAACUAAUUAUGUUUUAUAGUUAAGGUAAGUCCUAUAUGUUUUAGCCAAAAAAAAAAAAGGGAAAAGAAUGAGUUGAUGUAGGACCUUCACCAACCCAAAUUCAUCUAUAUUACUAGAUGAAAUUCAUUUUCUAUGCUAGAUCCGACUUUCAAACCUACUUUCCUAUGACUUUCAAUUAUAAUAAAAAUUAGCCCGGCAUAUUAGAUAAACGAUUUAAUUAAUUAAUUAAUUAAUGUAUAGAAAAGUUAAUUAGUAUCGUCAUAUGAUGUGCAGGAAAAACUUCACUGUUGGAUUUAGUGAUAUCAAAUCAUUUAUUAGCCUAUUUGAUUCAUUUGCUCAAUUACUCAUACAGUAGGGUACGUAGCCUGUAAUUGGUUUGUGCUUUAGAAAACUCAUAGGCAUGCUGAGUUAAGGCUUCAUUUGGAAUUGCGGGGAGAUUGUGUUAUGUGUGGUAAAAAAGUACGAUGGGAAAAUAUUCUCUUUGUUUUCGUAUGUAAUAUUGCGUUCUGCAUAUCACGAUUAGUUGGUUACGAUAUAUUUUCUGCGAUCCCACCGGAGAACGCAAAAACAUAUCCCUAUAUACUUUUACCCUAUUGAUGCCAAAAAAAUUAGGCGGGAACGGUUGAGAAGUGGGGCAUAACUUAUACGAUCAUGGCUACAGCACUACCCCCACUAUUAAAACUGAUCAAUAAUGUGGGCUGAGAAGAUAUCACUAUAAAUAGUAAUUCCAAAGCCUACAAAAGAGGUCUUUUUUUCUUGCGAACAGAAAACCACUUCAAUUCUACGCAUUUCUCUUGUUUUCUAGGAGUAUUCUACUUAUAUUCUUUCUUUCUUCCCAGCAUUUACUGUUUUUCUUAGGAAUAGUUCUUAAGUUAAAUUUCUUGAGUCUAUACGCCAUACAGGUGCAUCCUCUUUUGUACGAAUUUUCAACUUUAAAGUAAAAUCUACAAGCAUUCGGCUCUUCAGCCGACCCAAAAAUACUGUGCCAAUUCCUGACUUGGCUCAUAUAGCCGAACUGAUUCAGUAGUAAAAUGUACGAAUUCGGCUAAUCCGAUCCCUCAUUAGUCGAAUUGCUUGAUUUGUCGAAGGGCGCAAACUUCGAGGGUCACCAUUUGUAGCCGUUCGGCAUUCUUACACACUUCUCGAAGGGAAACUUUGACCGGGUCAACGGUCUGGGAAUUCGGCUCGCAGCAAUUUUUGGCACGCCUGGUGGGACUCUUGUUCAGGUAAAUUUGUACUUUAUUUAUUACAAGUUAUGGCUGACGACAAUGCCAUAAAUCUCUGCAAUCGAGUUGUUCCUCAAACAUCAGGGAAUGACCAAGCCAGUAAAACUGAGAACGUGAAUGAGCGUUAUGUAAUAUUACCGGUAGAGGGUGAGACUAGUGGUCAAUCGGACCAGCGAGAGCCGAGUUUGGCUCAGGCGCUCGGACAUAUGACUCGCGUCUUACAAGUUUUAGACCAAACUAGUAAUCGGAGCACCACCGCCUGGAUGCAGUUUUAGCCGCUAUCACGGCUUCUAAUGAAAAUAUUGCCCGAAUUGGGCAGUUACUGACUUGGAACGAACAAUCAUACGUAGGCCUAUCAGGACCUGUGGGCACCCCAGUGUUACAAAAUCCAGGAACACCGGCGAUUACGCAGCCUCAGGUAACACCAUUUCAGGGCGCUUAUAAAUCGGUGAAUGCAAAUACUGGUCAACAACCUGAAGUGGCAUGGGGAUUAUCUCCUCCGCCACCGUUACCGGUGUAUCAGCCCCAAAAUAUGGGGAUUAAGGUUGGGGGGCAAGCCCCCAAUGUGAUGCAAGGUAUGAAUUCUGCGGCACAAAAUUAUGGGCUACCUCCAGGACAGAACCCAGUUCAAACACAGGCUCCUGUUCUUCCACCAGGGAACAAUAAUGAGUUGUACGCUCAAAUUAAAAAAGCCAUUCGAAAUGCUUUCGAAGUGGGGGCUAGGCUGGUGAUGCGGCUUGUAUUUAGAUUUUCUUAUCCUACCAACAUAGAUGUAGAACAUCCUUACACAACAAUUUGGAAAGUGCCGAAAUUCGAUACAUUUUUUGGUGAUGAGACCGAAAAUACGGUCAAACAUGUGGCGCAAUUCACGACCCAAUGCAGGGAGGCCGCCGCAAACCCGUUUUUGAAACUUCGGUUAUUUAACACGCCGUUAACUAAAACAGCAUUUACUUAGUACACUACGUUACCUGCUAAUUUCGUCUGAGACUGGGACGAAUUGGAAAGAAAAUUCUAUGAAUAAUUUUAUAGAUCAGAACCGGAAUUGUCGGUGGCUGAUUAGCACAGUAUCGACAAAAGCCAGGUGAAUCGGUUAAAAAAUAUUUAAAUCGAUUCAAAACGACUAGAAGUCGGUGCUUUGUUAGGAUGCCAGAAUCAGAGUUUGCUAAGAUGGCAUUCAAUGGUCUACAUUUCAUGAUAAAGGACCAUUUUGAAAAUAAGUAUUUUUCGAAUUUGUUCGAUCUGAGAGUCUGAGUUGCUCAAUAUGAACAAUUCAGGAAAGAAAAUAAUGACGAUCAGCUGCAAUAGAGCCGAUAUAAAAAUCAAAGCAAAGGUAAGGAGAAAUCCUUGAUAGAAAAAUAAUCGGUUCAAGAAGAGUCGAGCCAAUCAAGUGAAAGUGAAGAAUCGGCUGAUAAAGCCGAUGUAUAUACAACCAGAAUGGUAAAGAGCCGCUUUCUUUAAGCGAACUAAGAUCAGCGAAACUAAAGCUCAGGUCUCGGCUGUAUCAUUGAGCCGUUGAGUUGGCACCAAUAGUCAUCCGAAUGUUCAUUCGAAAGACUAUUGGGGGGGCAUUGUUGAUGACAAAAAAUUAGGCGGGAACGGUUGAGAAGUGGGGUGUAACUUACGCGAUCAUGGCUACAGCACUACCCUCACUAUUAAAAUCGAUCAAUAAUAUGGGCUAAAAAGACAUCACUAUAAGUAGUAAUUCCAAAGCCUGCAAAAGAGGUCUUUCUCUCCCAUGAAUGAGAAGACCAUUGCAUUUUCAAUACUUCUACUUUCUACAUUUAUCAUUUUUCUAGGAGUAGUCUACUUGUAAUUCUUUGACUUUUUCAACAUUUACUGUUUUUCUUAGAAGUAGUUUUUAAAUUAGAUUUUUUGAGUCUGUAUGUCAUACUGGCACACUCUCGUUUGUAUGAAUUUCCAACGUUAAAGUAAUAUAUACAAGUAUUCGGCUCUUCAGCUAACCCAAAAAUACUGUGUAAUUCCUGACUCGGCUUGUACAAAUGAACCGAUUCAGUAGUAAAAUGUACGAAUUCGGUUGAUCCGAUCCCUCAUCAGCCGAAUCUCUUUAUCUGUCGAAGGGCGCAAACUUCGAGGGUCACUAUUUGUAGCCAUUCCGCAUCCUUACACACUUCUCGAAAGGGAACUUUAACCGGGUCAACGACGGUCAGGGAAUUCGGAGCAUGCCCCAACUUCAUUUUAUCUAAUAGCGCUAGAUAGGCCUCAAUACCAAACUAAGCGUAAGUGGGUUGUUAUGAAAAGAAUUCACAUUUGGCUAGUUAGUAUAGAAUUUUCAUUGGAUCGUUGAUGCUAAUUAUUAAUCCUAAAAAUUCGAGCUGUUAGAAAUAUGCAGUUAGUUCACUUAAAGCGUUCAAAUAUAGCAUCCACGGAUCUCAAUUGUGACUCGACCUAACCACUCUCACGCAAUUUCAAAUAUAGCUCGACCCAACCCAACCUCACGUCAUUUCGUUUGUGGCUCAGCUCAACUCGGUUUCCCGCCAUAUGGUAGAAUUAAUACUGACCCCUUUAAGCCAAUAAAUAUAUUCCAAUUUGGAUUAACCAUGUAAGCCUUUUUGUGUUACUGUGAUUGUAUUUAGAUUCUCUCUUUCUAUUUUAUUUAUUCUAAUUUGUACACUUGUUCCUUGUGGAUAAUUUAAAUAUAUUAUAGUAUAGUUAAUAUCUCGAUAGUGUGGGUUCCAUCGUUGCCGCACUACAUUGACGGCGACAAUUUUGCUCUAUUUAGACUUGAGAAGAAGACUUCGAGUUGUGGGACUGCCGUCGCUUUUUCAUUUUGACAAAGUAGAGCAGCAAGACUUGAGUCUUCUCCACUCAGCCACUCAUUCAACUCCGCUGGCAAAACUAUUGCGUGCCUGAACCUAGUGUAUUAUAUUAUAGAUGUUUCAAAUUAAUUAUAGUUUUAAUUUAUUGAAUGGUUAAUAUCUUUGGUUCCUUAUAAAUUGAACAGUGUCAUCUUCUAAACUGUUAACUUUUUUUUUGAGAGAUAAACUGUUAACUUUCAAACCACUAAUUGGCACUAACUGUGAUAGGUUUCCAAAAUUUAAUAAUUUUUAUAUACGGUUUCAGAGUUUGGAAUAUUAGAAGAAAUUUUUGAAAAUAAAUAAAAAUAUUUUGAUCAAUCAGAAAUAUAUUAAAUAUAUUUUAAAAUUUAAAAUAUAUAUUACAUAUUAAACAUUAAUUCCUUAGGGGGUGUUUGGUUCUGCGUAGAACGAACUGAAAAAAUAUUUUCGGCAUUAAAAAUAAUUUUUCGCUUGUUUGGUUCGAUGUAAAAAUAUUUUUUUUCUUAAAAAUGCUUUUACGGAUUUGAGAAAAAAAAUUGAAAGUUUCAUUUUCUAUUAUUUUUGGCGAAAAAUUAAAACUCAAGGUGUAUAAAAUUUUUUUCAUUCAUUUUUUUCGACCGAACAAAACAACUAUGAAUUUUUGCUCUUUCAACCAAAGAAAUGUUGAUAGAAAUUUUUAUUUUUAUCCAGCAAGCCAUAAAAUAUAAAAAUUGGACCAAAUGAAAAAAAAAAUUUCACCAAAAAUUACUUUCCACGGUUUUACGUUUAACCAAGCGGACCCUUAAUAUAAAAAAUACAUGCAGUACCAAACUAGUCCCUUUUUCUCAUUAUAAAAAUCUCUCUGAAAUCGUUAUUGGCCUUAAUUAACAGCAUUUCAGAAGUAAAUUCUCACAAACCUAAUGAGCGCAGCAACCAAACCUGCAGUCAUUAAUCUCAUGAGCAUCCCUCCCUCCUCCAAACUCUUCCUCUCUCUGCAACUCCUCUCACUACUCUGCCUUCCCCUCUUACGGCGCUGCGGCGCCGAUCAGCCGUUCUACCCAAUCUGCGGCAACACCGACGGUAACUACACCGCCGGCAGCCCCUACGAGUCCAACCUCCGCCGCCUCCUGCCUUCUCUCGCCUCCGCAGCCCCGGCCUCCGACGGCUUCUCCGCCGCCGCCGCCGCAGGCGAGUCUUCCGACCGAGCGUUUGGCAUCGCCCUCUGCCGCGGCGACGUCAACACCACCGACUGCCGCGCCUGCCUCGGUACCGCCUCCGCCAACAUCCUGCAGGCCUGCCUGCACAACCGAACGGCCGAAAUCUUGUUCUACUACUGCCUGCUCAAGUACUCCGACCGGAACUUCACCUCCUUCCUCGAGAACUCGCAGCAGCUCUUCCUGUGGAACGUCAACAACGCGACGUUCCCGGGGUACUACGCCGAGGAAGUCUACAACUUCGUCAACCAGGCGGUGGACACACUGCUGAGCGGCAUCGCCGAUGCGGCCGUGUCGAGCUCUAACUCCGUUAAGCUCUUCGCGACCGGCGAGCUGAGCAUCACGAAAGGUUUUCCGACGAUAUACGGGAUGGCGCAGUGCGUCCAGCACAUCGCGGGCUCGGAGUGCCGCCGGUGCCUUCAGGGGCUCAUCAACGAGACGCUGAAGUUGUUCGACGGGCGGCAAGGUGGCCAAAUUCUCGGCGGCUGGUGCUACUUGAGGUACGAAGUGUUUUUGUUCUACUAUGGGAAGCCGACGAUAAGCAGGUUUUCUGUUGCACCGGUGAACCUGCCCAUCUCGCCGCCACCUCCCGGCCCUCCGCAAAUUCCAACUAAAAGUGAGGAGCUGCACUCCUUAUGCCAUUCUCAUCUGUAUAUGCUAUAAAUAGUGUACAUCUCACAGCCAUGUAGGGUGGCAAUUCAGCUCGUUGUUCGUAAGCCAGCUCGUAUUCGGCUCGAAAUGAGCUUGAGAUCAAAUCGCUCAUUUAGUAAACGAGCCGAACACGCGCCGAAUUUUUUCGGCUAGUUAAUUUAUUAAACGACCGAACACGAGCUGGGUCAGCUCGCCCGUGUCGGCUCAAUAACAGCUCAAAUAUAUAUUAUUUAUAUUUAUAUAAUUUAUUUAAUUUAUAUUUAUAUAUAUAUAUAUAUAUAUAAUAUAUAUAUAAUAUAUUAUAUAUAUAUAUAUAUAUAUAAUAUUUUUAUUAUUAAUUUUUAGUAAAAUAAAAAUAUAAAGGAGCUCAAUUAAAAAACCUCAUUUAUAUCGUAAGUUUCAACUAUUAGAUCAAAGUCUAAUGGAUAAGAUUUUAUAAAUUAUUUUAUAUAUAUAUAUAUAUAUAUAUAUAUAUAUAAUAGUCCGGCUACUAUAUUCACGAUAUGUACCAAGCCUUUGUACUAUUGAUUUUCUACUGUUAGAUCUACCCCAUUGAUCAUUUCCGCCCAUUAGAUAUACUAUUAAACCCAAAUAAUCACCCACUCAACCCUAGGGACUACUAUUAAUUUAAACCGGACCACUAUCAACCUAACCGGCACAUAUUUUCAUCAAUGGCCGAAAACUCAAAUAGUAAAAGGAUUUGGUACUAUUGAUAGUAUAAUAGCCUAAUUAUAUAUAUAUACUAUAUAAUAUAUAGUAGGGCUAGAAAUACUUUUACAAGUAUCACCACGUGAUACUUGUGUGUUUUUAACCCUUGAUGGAGAGAUGUGAGAUUGAAUGAUGUAUGGUACGUGGUGGUAGGUGGAAUAGUGUUUGAUGCCAAUGGCUAUUGUAAUCAAAAGUAAAUCCAAUGGGUAAAAACGUGAUAGCAACAUGGGGAUAAUACUUGUAAAAAGUAUCCUAGAUCAACUAUACAAUAUAUAUAUAUAAUAUAUAUUAUAAUCUAAUCUUUUAACUUAUUGUUCGUUGGCCAACUCGUAGCCAGCUCGUUGUCGCUCGUUAAUAACGAGUCGAACACCGAGCUGAAUUUUAGCUCGAUACUUUAACAGCCAGCUCAUAUUCGGCUCGUUAUUAAACGAGCAAAUAAGAGCCGAUCCAGCUCGCCUGUGUUUGGCUCCUUUCACCUCUAAACCAGCCAUCGCUACUCUUUAUGUCAUUUUCAUCUGAAUAUCAAAAUAUAUGCUGUAUAAAUAGAGUUGACAUUGUACGGUCACUCAUCUAAGGAUUUAGAAAUUUCUUUUGAGUUUUUAUCAUUCAAGGACAAAAAAAAAAAUUUAAAAAAAAUAAAAAAAAAUCUGAUAAGACUAUGUAAAGAAUAUCACGUUUUCGAUGGAUGAGGUGUUUGAUUGUAUGCUGCUAUAGAUGUACAUAUAGUAUUACUUUUUUUAUUUUUUAAAAUAUUAAAAUUAAUUUUUAAGCAGUUUGUGUUUUUAGAGAGGUGGAUUUAUUUCACAGGGCUGAGCAGGAGGGUUUAAUAAGUGCCAACCUUUUUUUAUACUCUAUAAACCUUUUUUUUUCAAAAAAAAAAAAAAAAGACAAUCUCAAACCUAACACACAUUCCAAUCAAAACCCUCGGUUCAAAAUUAAUGACUACCAAAUCUUCUUUAAAAUUUGUUCAAAAACCGAAAACAAUUAGUAGGAAUUGAAUUAGAAGUAGGCGUAGGCAUGGUUAAACUUUGGCUGAAGUACAUCGUAUAAAUAUUAUUAUUAGGACAUAUUGACAAGUAUAAUUGGUUUUCUACUUCUUCUCAGUGUCUGUUUACUGCAGCUAGAAGCAGUUAAAGUUUCUUCUACUCAUUGGGUCUUUGAAGUUGCUUCUCAUUGCUGCAAAAAUUUUAGAUCAUUUAGAGACAGCAAUGAUAACAUUAUAUUAUUUUGUGGAGAUGUCAGUUUAGAAGCUAGAAAUAAUAACACGUAUAACGAUCCACCAUCAAUAUGCAUGUUUUGUUUUUAUUUUUAUUUUUUUUUGAAAGAGAGACUAUGUUAUCCGUUUCAUUUAUUUUUAAAAAAAAUAAAAUUAGUUGAAAAUAUAAAAUAAUUAGACAUCAAACUUGGGCUCUUAGAUGUCAAUCAUCAAGCUCUUUGUCCCUUGCGCUAGGGACGGUCGAUAUUAUCAAUAUUUUGUUGAUCACUUAAUUAUAGUAUUUUAUUGGUAAUAUUUAUUUUCAUGCACAGGGCCGGAGAAAAGUAAGCUUCGCAUUAUCGUUAUAGCUACAUGUCUCACGGUAUUCUUUUCUUGCUCCCUGUUGUGUCUUAUGUGUAUCAAAAGGCAAAGGCGCGCAGGUAAAUUCAAAUUAAGUGCUGUAAAGUGCUUACAAAUUAAUAGAAAAUUUCUUAAUCUAGGACUUUCUCUUUUGCAUUAUCCAGGAAAGGCAAAGUUGCAAAUCACUCGACCAACUUCCACUUUUGAUGCUGACGAAGUUAUUAAGCUUUGGAAGAGCGAAGAAAGAAGCUCUGAAUUUUCAUUAUUUGAUUUCGAUACCAUCGCGAACUCCACGAACAAUUUUUCUGUCGAAAACAAACUUGGAGAGGGCGGAUUUGGGACUGUCUACAAGGUAAUGAAAGUGUAAUCUUUUUUUUAAUAUCCUUAAAGAAUGAAAAUGGCACUUGCCGAAACCAAUUUCUUAACAUUAAUUGGCAAUAUUCAUAUCGAGUUUUGCUAGAAUACUAUGGUAGUAAACUGCUCGGUUUACUACCGAUUUAUUUUCGAUGAUAGAGCUUCCAAAUUGAUGAUCGGCACCGUUAAACAUGAUCUAAACUAUUUAAACUAUCCGGAAAUCAAAUUUCACACAUUUUUGAUAUUGUUCUCUUGUCCAUCAAGUGAACAGAAAAAUGAAUGGCUGGAAAUGAAUAUCCUUCAAAAAGUGAUGAUACAAUUUUUAUAUUUGAGAUCUAGAGUCUAGAUCUUAUUUUAAAUAGUUUAAAAAAAUUUUUAACAAAAAUUUAGUUGAUUUGAACUCUUCUAUACCGUUAAACGAGCAAACGCACCAUAUCGGUCAUUAAAAUUAUAGAUUUUGUGACCCUUUGAUCGUUCAGUUAGUGAUGCCAAAAAAUCAUGAAAUUUGGUUUCUAGAUAAUUUAAAUGGUCUAGAUUAUGUUCAACGGUGCCGAUCGUCGAUUUUGAAGCUCUAUCAUCAAAAACAAAUCGGUAGUAAACCGAGCAGUUUACUACCGAUAGUAGCCCAGUCAAACUCUAUUUAUAUCUGUAUACAAUUUCUUUUUUUAAAAAAAAAAAGUGUAAUAGUGAGUAACACAACUAGACACACAUGAAUUCAAUUCAUAAUGAUAACUAAUAAUUGAAGUACAACUUUCUGAGCUUGCUCUUCCGUUAGAAGUUUUAGUUUUAAAAUCUAGCUGCACUACGUGCAAAUCUAAUAUAUAUAUUGUUUCUUCUAUUAACUCUGGCUUUGGAGGAGUAUAUAUUUUUCCUUUUCUAAAAUAGGAUGAAGAAAAAGAAAAAAAAUUUUAUUUUUUUCAUUUUGAAAACCUGGGCACGUACGAUGGCAUAUAACAGGGCCAAUUAUCAGAUGGACUUGAGAUAGCAGUAAAGAGACUCUCCGCGCAUUCAGGCCAAGGUCUAGUGGAAUUCAAGAAUGAGAUUCAACUUAUAGCAAAACUUCAACAUCGAAAUCUUGUGAGGCUAUUAGGUUGUUGCAUUCACAGAGAAGAAAAAAUACUAAUAUAUGAAUAUAUGCCGAACAAAAGCUUGGAUUUCUUCCUCUUUGGUUCGUAUCAAUCAUUCUGCUCCAAUUGCUCUUUUCUUCUCUUUCCACACUUUCUUUGUUAUAUUAGUUUGUCUGUCUCAGAUCAAACAAGAGGACUAUUAGACUGGCAAAAGCGCUUUACUAUUGUUGAAGGGAUAGCUCAAGGACUUCUUUAUCUUCACAAGCACUCUAGACUACGAAUUAUCCAUCGAGAUCUAAAGGCGAGUAACAUUCUCUUGGAUUACGAAAUGAACCCUAAGAUAUCUGAUUUUGGCUUAGCUCGAAUUUUUGGUUCCAACGAAACUCAAGCAAACACAAACAGGAUUGUUGGCACGUAGUAAGUAUAUAUAGAUCAGCCUAUUUAUGUAUCCACCACUACAAGAUAUUGCUUGUGUUGAUAUUUUUGAAAUUAAUUUGCUUCAGUGGCUAUAUGUCUCCCGAAUAUGCUUCUGAGGGUCUUUUCUCAGUCAAAUCUGAUGUCUUUAGCUUCGGCGUCUUACUUCUCGAGAUAGUAAGCGGAAAAAGAAAUGCUGGUUUCCACCAAUAUGGGAAUCAUCUUAACCUCCUUGGAUAUGUAAGUAAAAAAGAUUAGAGCACUUCAUUCUUAUAAUAUUUUUCUGAAGAAAUUAUAUAUUAUGGCAUUUUAGAUCAUUUCAUUUUCUGAGAAACGAGAUUAUUGAUGUUCGCUUGAAUUUCCUGAAGCAUCAGAAAAUUUUAUGUCAUUGGUGACAAAAUUGUCACAGGCAUGGGAGCUUUGGAAAGAGGGGAAAUGGUUUGAGCUCAUAGAUCAAAAACUAGAUGAUAGUUUUGAAACAUGUGAGAUAUUGAGAUGCAUUCAUGCGGCACUUAUGUGUGUUCAAGAGAAUGCCUCCGAUCGACCGACCAUGUUGAAUGUGAUUACGAUGCUGAGCAGCGAUAGCACGAGCCUAUCGGAUCCGAAACAACCGGCUUACUUCAAUGUGAGAAUCAGGGAUGAAGCAAAGAUGGCGUCUGAUUUCAUCAUGCCUGACACCGUAAACGAGAUUACUUUUAGUGAUCUGGAAGGCCGAUAAUGCUACUUCAAUUUUUUUUUUUUUCUUUGUUUGUUUGUUUGUUUUUUUUUUUUUUGAGAUAAUGUCCAUACCGGUAUUAUAUAUCGGUUGCCCUAUUGUCAUAUAAGAUACAAUUGAGUUGAAAAUAUGGAGAAAAUGUUAGUCAAAAAAUAUUGGCUGUACAAUUACUCUAGAGAGAGUAUUAACAUGGUUGUAAUUAAUUAAGCAUGAACAUAUCAUGAUGAUCGCGAUAAUUUAGGCUAAUUAAAUUGGCCAAUACUACGAUCAAGGCGAGUAGCUAGCAUAGCAUCAUGUAAGGUUGAUAUUGUUGAAUAUAAAUAUUAAAAAUGUGAAAUGAUUCGGUACUUUAUUAUUAAAAAUAUAAAAUAGAUCUUAACUGUUGAUUAAUAGAGGGUAAAGAUGUAAUUUUAACAUUUAGCAGGUAAAAGGGUUACAUUAUGCGAGGUUAUUUUAGUAAUUAAACUAUGCAACAUUUAAAGAAAUUUUUAAUUGAUAUUCUAAAUUUAUGUAUUAAUUUGCACUAAUUUAGAAAAUUGAUUGAUUACCCUAAUUUAGGCAUUAAUUAAGCAUUAAUUUACGCAUUUACUUUAGAAAUUUUAGUGAUUCUAAAAUUUAGGCAUUAAUUUAAAUUAUAGGAAUUUUAGAAGUAGUUCUAUUUCUAAAUACAUUGAAUUUAAAUAUUAAAUAUUAAAUAUUUAAAAUUAAAAAAAUUAAAAUUUAAGUUAGAGGAAUUAUGUAUUACUAUUUAAAAAAUUUGUAAUGUUGAUAAAUAUUUUAAUUCAACAUACUUAAUACGUUUAAGAAAAUUGUGAAUUCAUCUUAGACAUCAAUUUUGUAUUACAAAUUUUAAAAAAUUGAAUGUGGGCCAAUAUGUAAAUUCAACAUAUUUAAUAUGUUUAAAAAAUUUUAAGAAAUUUUCUAAUUUAGAUAUUAAUUCUUUAUCACUAUUUAAAAAAUUUAAUGUGGAUAAUUAAUUAGAAAUAUAGGGUAUAAUUCAAAUUUAUUCUUAGAAUAGAAUUGUAUGGAUAAAAUUAAUUCAAAUUUUAAUAGUAAAAAUUGAUCUUUUAAAAUAAUGAGAUCAUAUAUUGUAAUUUAAAGUAUAAGCUGAAAACAAAUAAAAUUUGAAGUUUAGAACCUACAAAGUAAAUAGAAACCUCUAAUAAAUUUAAAUAAUGUAGUGCAAUUUAAAUUUACCAAUAAAUAGAUUUAAACUGUAUAAUUUAAAGUUUAAACUUAUAAUAAUAAAUCUCUAGAGUUUUACUAGAGUAAACAAAAUUAGAAGUGUAGAUAAAUUAAAUAAAUUUAUAUUGAACAAAUCUAGGCUGUUUGUAUAUUUUAUUAAUUUGAUCGGUCCAAUUAAUUUGAUUUCUUAAAUUGAUUUUGACUUUUAUCUUUAAUUUUUUUUUAUUUUUAGUUGAUUUUUAAAAUUUUAGUUUGUUACCUUUUGGUUUACAAUUAGCUUCUUAACUUUUAUUAUUCAUUUUAAUUAAAUUAGUAUCAAUGAUUUAAAAACUAGAUUGAAUCGAUUGAUUUGACUGAUCAGAUUUUAAACUAUUAUAUCAAAUAUCUGAUUUCAAUCUAUUAAACUGAAUAAGAUUAAGAACAAUCUGGAACCGUUAAAAAUAAUAAACGUUUUAAACAGAAUGACAUUUUAACAGUUAGAGCUAAUAAAUAUUUUAAACAUAAUUUUAAGUAUGAAAAUUAAAAAAUAUUAGGAUUACUGUUCAGAAAAAAAGGGUUAGGAAUUUGAAUUCGAACCCGACUAACCAUCGCAAGACCUAUUUCUGAACUCGACGGAUUUCAAAAAUCCAUAUCUAAAUCCGAAACUGACCAAUUUUCCGAAACCUAAAACCGAACCCAAACCCGAAGACUGGAACCCGAAAUAAUUAUUUCUUUUUACCAUAUUUAAAAAUAUUUUAUAUUAAAUUUAAAAUUUUAAAAUAUAAAUUCGAAUAUAAUAUUAAACUUUAUAUAUGAUUCGGAUCGGAUUCAAGAUGGAUAUAGACAAAAUCCAUAGUUGGUCCACAAAAUAAUUUGAAACUUUUCUUAUAUGAAAUGCCAAAAUAUGAGAGGAAAGAGAGAGAAAAAAAAGAAACAAAGAGAGAAUAAAAAUUUUGAUAAUAUAAUAGAGAUAAAAUGACUAAAUUGCUCAUAUAUUAAAAGACAAAAAGACCCUUUUUCGAGGUACUUGGUAACCGGUACCUCUUCCAAAGUGACCUGCUAUUGCAGAUCACAAUUUUAAGAAAAUUAAAUCUGAACCGUUGAAUGGGAGGGAAUGAACGGUAACAGAAAAAAAAAAAAAAGUAUAGAAGCAUUACUCAUAAAAAAUACCAUCGGCCUCUGGUAACUUUAAGUUUACUGAAAAAUGUAUUAUUUGCAUUAUUUAAUAUUGUAUCAAAGCAUAAGGUCCUAUGUUCGGAUUCCGUCAGGCUCCUAACAUUAUUUAGUUUUCUUCUAUUAAUUAAGUUUAUGUCUUUGGGUCUAUGAAAAUUUUUUAGUCCAGACAUGGGAGGGUACAAAACAACCAUUUUUUUCCAAAGCUUAGGCUACUAGAUAAUAGUAUUCUUAAUAUUUAUAUUCAACAAAUAUUGGGCCACUGUGCUUUUAUUUUUCUUUGAAUCUAGUUUAGAACUUAUUCGGCUAUGUUGUAUGGUGUAGCACAAUUGAGCUUUCUCUUUUGCUUGACAUCCUAGCAAAUGAAAAUCAAAUAAAACUCAAAUCAUUAUUUUUCUAAAUUUUUCUUUUUUAGAAUAGUUUUUUUUUGAGAAAAAGGUAGCGUGCUACCCACUUCAUUCAUUGAAAAGAUGAAUUAUGCCAUAAGGGUGAGGCAACCAGGGCCUCUAAGAGGUGAAAAAAAGAAGAAGGAGAAGAAGAAGAAGAAAACUACAUCUCAUGAAAGUGUCGAUUAGCCGAAAGUAGAUGUUUCCAAAAAUUCGACAACUGUUUAACCUUGCGAACUGCUGUCAGGGAGUCCAGCUGGAUCAUUCUAAAGAUCGUAUCAUUUCUGCUCUCCCAGAUGACCCACCAAUAGGCUGCUAGUUCCGGGAGCCUAUUACACAAAGAUUGCGAAGUUUUCCAACCCGUCCACCUAUCCCAGAUCGAAUUAACGUCGACUCCCAAUUCCGUAGACUGAACACCCUCCAAGGCCAUCACUAAUACGAAUUUAGCAAAUACGCAUGCAGUAAACAAGUGAUCAACAGUUUCCACUUUAGUCCUGCGCAUCACACAGGCUGUGUCUCCGAUCCAGCCUCUUUUUAGUAGGUUAUCUACUGUGAGAACCUCUUCUUUAGGACGAGCUAGCAGAACACUUUCACUUUUAGGGGUAUUGGAAGUCUCCAUAACUUGAUUGCUCGGGCAUCCCUCGUACCCCCAUAUCGCUCAGUGCAGAAUAAGCCGACUUUACCGUGAAUCACCCAUCUGGGUUCCAACGCCAAAGAAUCUUGUCUGGGCUCUGCCCUAUUCUGAAAAUAGAGAUCCGAUCCUUAAGCGCAGAGAAGCUAGAACACAAACCCUGCCUAUUAACCGAAUCGCCUCCUAGAAUCUUGCUCCAGUUCCAGCCAUCACUCGUCAAAUAAUCCUUGACUUUAAGGGUGCGUUUGGUUUGAGCUAUCCUGCCAGGAUUACAGGCAAUCCUGCCAGGAUAACUGUGAGACCCCAGAUAGUCCUAUAUAUAAGAUAUAAUAGGGCUAAACUCUUAACCCGGUUUAAGCAUUUUGGGUGGUGGCUAGACCCAAGAGGUUAAGAGAGUUAAGUGUGCUAGGACGGGAGUAGUCCUAGGAUGGGUGACCCCCUGGGAAGUCGAGGCGUUACAAUAACUGUGUUUGGUUAAUCCGCUAUGUAAUCUAGUCGUUAAUGUAGCAUUACAAAUUGAGCAGGAUUACAUCGAAAAUAUUAACGGGAGGGGGGUCAUGUAUCUUACAUUACUAAAAUCCGUUAAUACUACAUAUUAUGUAAAAUGAUAAUUUUACCCUCUAACAACCCUAAUCUAAUUAACAGCAUUAUUUUCAUCUCUCUCUCUCGCCUUCCCCCCUCUCUCUCGCACGCCGCUUUCUCUCUCUCUCUCUCUCUCUCUCUCUCUCUCUCUCUCUCUCUCUCUCGCACGAACAUGUAUCAUCUUCUAUUGCGCCGUCCUCCCAGGUAAUCAUCAUGAUCUCCUUCCCUCCAUUCGUCAUUUUCACAAAAAAUAAUAUUCAAAUGACCACAACAAGGGCAAUUUUGGAAAAAAUUAUACUUUUAUGUUAGAAUUACUAAAUUUUAUAAACUGAACCAAACGUAUUAAUACUAUAAACACUGUAAUAUAGUAUUAUAUUACUGCAUUAAACCAAACGCGCUAAUGCAGCAUCAGUAGUAAUCUCACGCCGAAAUCCAAGAUACCUGGAUAUGUCGAGAUACUUUGUAAUAUUAUAUAACUCGAACCAAACAGGUCCUAAGGGUCUUGCAUUCCAUCAUAUUGUACACCUCCGGAAAAUCAAGUUGUAAAGAGCUCACCCCACUCCAACAAUCCGACCAAAAAUCAAUGGUACAUCCGUUCCCCAGUUUAUAGUAUAUUCCCCAUUUAAAGAUAUCAGAAAGACUUAGAACUUCUUUCCAUCAGUGGGAAAGAGGCCUAAAGGAUCUUCCCUCCUUCAAAGGUCUUCUUCUACGGUAGUAUAGGGCUUGAAUAACCUUGUUCCACUAUAAUUGAGGCGCCGUGUGAAACUUCCACCACCAUUUGGCAAGCAUAUCAAUUUUAUGGGAUGCAUUCUAUGGGACUUCAGACUUUUAAUUUUUGAUUUAAUUUUUUAUUAUUUUGACUUGGGUUAUUUCUUUUUCCAUGUGAAUCGGAGAUUUUAUUAUAACUAACAACCUAAGAACCAUAUUUGAUUAUUUUUCCUUGUUCAUUUCAUUUGUUGCUUCACUGUGGAACUUUAAUUUUCCUAAUUGACAUACCCUUAGUUCUUAAUUAUUUAAUUCGCUUUAGUCAAUCUAAGGUUAGUAUGAUAUUAGUCUCUUAAAGUUGAGUGGUCCCCUUAGGGUUGAUUGAUCCCUAUUAAGUUAUAAUAUUCUAACCAAAUUAAUUCAAAAGCUAAAAACUUGAUAGCAAAAACGGACAAAUACUAUUAAUAGUAUUCUAAUUCUAGUCCAAAUAUANCGGAAGUGUGAGAUGAGUCUCGGCUGAGCCAGAGUCUGGAUGACGGGCUAGCGUAGGGAUGUCAACGAGUCGGAUUUGGGUCGGGUUUUUAAAAACCCGAACCCGAACCCGAAUACCAAGUUCAUACCCGAACCCGAACCCGACGGGUUUAAAAAAUCCAUACCCAUACCCGGCCCCGACCAAAUACCCGAAACCCGAACCCGAACCCGAAAAGCAAUGAAAUGGGGACAUCAUCAAGGACCAAACAGUUACUUAGCUCACAUGGACCCAUGUGCAUUUCAAUCAUUAACUUUAUUUAGAUCCUCUUAAAAUUUAGCUCAAUACUCAUCAGGAAUCAUCAUAAUCGAAUCGAGAAAGAAGAAGAAAAAAAAAAAGAGAAAAGAAAAGAAAAAUAAAAGAAAACAAGAAAGUAAGGAAGAGGAAAAAGAGAUCGAGGAGGAAGAGGAGAGGGAAGGGAGUCGUGAGAUUGAGAGUACCGAGUACGAGAAAUCGCGGAAUAGUUCGACUUCGAUCAGAUGGGGACUGGAGACGGGCCGCGGGCGAGGCGUCUAGGGAAGCGCUGCGCGUUGCCGGACUGGGACGGGCAGCAGGGCGGGGGAGACUGCGGAGUCCGGACGGCAGAUCGAAGGGGCGGCGUUGUGGGCUUGUGGCGAAAUGGCGGAUGGGGCGUUAGGGCGAAAAUGGAAUAGCGGAUGGGGAUGGGGCGAACUUGCAGAUGGGGAUGGGGCCAAAGGGAGUUAGGGUUUAGUGGUUUAUUCUGGCCGUUGGAUUAGGAUCUAAUGUAUGAAAAGGUAAUCAAAGAGAUAUAUAUAUAUAUAUAUAUAUAUAAUAUAUAAUAAUAUAUAUAAUAUGAUAUAAUAAUAUAUAUAUGCGUGUUCGUUCGGUCGGUGGUUCGGUUCGUCGGUUAUACAAAAUCCAUACCCUGACCUCAUAUCCGUCGUUUUAUUUUUAAUCCCAUACCCGAUCCAUACCCAUUUAGCCGUAAACCCGCCCGUCGGGUGUUCGGUUCGGUAAUUUUUGGUUAUGCCCAUACCGCAUAGACAUCCCUACUUUGAGGCCCUUUUAGUACUAUAGUCAAACUCAAGCUCACAAACGACACAUCUAGAUAACCAUCAAAUCUUGACUUUUCACCGCAUAUCGAUCGGCGGAACAUGGCCUUCACAAUAUCUAACAAAUCUCCACGAAACAUAUCAACCCAUAAAACCAAAUGAAAGUCUUGCGCAAACUCACUCUCCUCACGUUGCUUGGAUCGAAGAAGUCAUGCACAAUUGAACUCACUUAUAACGCUUUCAUCAAAAAUACCCUGAUUUUCACGAUAUAACCUUCCAAGCACAGAUAAGACCCUCAUCACGCAGAUCUCUCAUAACAAAAAUAGUGACUAUCAUGUGCUUUGCCAAGUGAAACGUCGAUUCAUCGCCAGAAAUUUUUGACACUUUGACAUCACAAUCACACCUUAGCACAUCUUGUUUCCUUAAUUCUUCUAGAAGUCUUUUAACAAAAUCCUCAUUGAAAAGCAUGUGCCUACCCAAGUACUCCGCCUCCGUCAUUGACCAAGGACCACUAACGAAAGUUCGACUCCCACUAAAUACACAUACUGCUCAUGAGAAAACAUAACCCAUGUUAACUUCUUACUCUCCACUCCUGUGAAAUAUCAAUCAUAUGUCCAAUGCACUCCAAAUUCGUAGAACUAUAAUGAGUGAGAAAUCGUAUGUCCCUCAAAUUCCCUAGAGAAUCCAUUUCAACUGCUUCCAUGUUCACAUCACCAAAUGCCAUCACUGCUACUAAACUGUGAGAAGUCGAUUAAGCACACCAUGGCCAACAAAAGCUGCCUUACAUGCCCGAUGAUAUAUACCGUAAGGGCCACGUCUAGCCUUUUCAUUUCGUGCUUGUGAUUGCUUGAUCCGACAACUUAAAAAUGAAUAAAAAAUGAAGUAAAAUUGUUUUGUGUUCUACAUAUUGAAGCAGUACACACAAAAUCUUUCCCCCCUUAUAUAUAACUUUUUGUAGAAGUCAAACUUUCCUAUCUUUACUCGGUAGUACCUUUAUUUUGCAGUAUAUAGUUUUUGAAACACCUAAUCUCAGGAUACUGUCUCUUGUAUUCCCGCAACCACCAUAAACCAUUUGAUAUAUAAAAGCAAAAUACAGAAGGCUCCUAUCAUUAGUCCCUAGAACUAUGAUAUGAUAAUCACUAUUCUGAUAUCAAAUCGAUGAGGAGAAUUGUAUAAGUCAAGUUUUUUUAUUCCUUAGACAUACAAAGCAAGAAUUUUCGAUAACUCUCGAUUAAUCCUCCCGCUACUAGAUGCUCCAUAUGAAUAAAUCACUACUCUUCUCUAACAAAGUUAUCAGCUAUCUACUUUUCUGUAGGUGCGUCUUCACAACAUCUUAAUCAAAUGCUGCAUCCUUCAAUUUCGUAAAACAAAUAAAUUUCCAUCAAAACCAGGCAAUCCAUACUCAUGUGAACUUAUUUUGCAAUUCGUUUCACCUUGAACGAUCUAACAAAGACACGCAAAUCGCUAUACCAUUGAAAGGACAGACCAAGAGGGGCAUUGUAGCGCAACCUCAACCUACACACAUACAUUGCAUCAGAAAGAAGAUCUUUUGUAGAUGAAAAAUAACCCGAGAACAUUAUAAACAACACAGAUACGCAAAGAUAAAAUGAAAAAGAGAACAACAAACACAGAUUACAUAUUCACAAUAUGAGUCAAACUAUUCAGCAGCAAGACCUAGCCAACUACUUUUCGAUUAAUCAAUAACACAAAAAUGAAGGAGUAAGAAGAUUACAAAAACUAUCUACUCUAUUUAAUUUUCCAUAUUUUUUCUUUCACAGGUGCUAACACAACUCAUAUUUCUACAAGAUUAAUUACACAGAGUUAUUACUCUAAAAACCUCCCAACAAAUGAAUGCUCUCUAUCAUCUCCAUUGAACGAUCUCCGAUCAUUUCUUGCUUAUGAUUUUCUGCUCAGAACAGUUGUUCUGGACCAUUCCUAAACUUUAUAAAACAAAUUAAAAUCAAAUUGGAUCAAAUUUAUCAUAUUCACUCGCGCAUGAAAUCAUAACCAGUAACUCAACUGAGAACGAUGGAGCACUGGUACUCUCAAAUUGGACUACCAAAAGUAUAAUUAACAAAAAUAGAUUUUCUAACUCGAAUUUUGAGAACUCUGAGGAACUCCGAAGGUACACUUGUUUGAGGACACUGAGGAAGACUCCUAAAACUCUUUUCAAGUAUAUCUAUACUUAGAUUUCAAAGUUUACGCCAUACCACAAUAUCCCAAAAAACGUUAAACUUGACUUUUUUACGCGGAUAUCAACUUGGAACAUGCUUACAUAAUCCAAACAAGCAUACAAUAUGCAAAAAGCAGAAAAGUUGAUGGCUAAUAAGUCGUAAAUGUUAAGAGUAGCAAUUUGACAUAAUUAGUAAGAGAUGAAAAUUAAUUAAAUGAUGUUAAUGUAAAUUAAAGAAUCAUCACACCUUACGCGAAGGUAGAUCUAAGGAUACGCUUUAUACCCAUGUUUACCGCGAAAACUACAUCGCUUGGAAGAAAAAUAAGUCAAAAAAAUAGUAACAUGAGACCCAAAGAUUUGAAAUAGUUUAUAUAUACAGGUAAUGUUUAAGAUAAAAAAAUUUAAAAUCUCAAAUGAAAAAAUAGAAUGCAAAAAAAAAAAAAAAAGUAAAGGUUAGAUUUGCCCUAGAUGAUCCACCACAAAAAGAAAAAGAAAUAAAAUAUAUUAUACCUUGUAUAUUCAAAAAUAUUUGGAAUUAUUCUAAAAUCGAGAGUCCAAAAACCACUACAAAUUGGACCAUGAGAUUCAAGAAGAUAUUUUUAGAAAGAGCGAAAAAAGAGAAAAAAAAAAAGAAGCAAGAAGAGAGAGAGAGAGAAACGAGAGAAGGUAUGUCAGAGGCAGCCCGUUCUCCUCCUCUCUCUGUUCGUACACACAGAAGAGGAUUGGUUCCUUCUUUCGGCAAAACAAAAAAAAAAAGAAAAAAAAGAAAAAGAAACAAAAAAAAAAAAAAAAUAGUCAAGCACGAUCAACGACGGGACACUACAAAUUCGAUGACACGACGACUACCGACGGAACUUCCACACAACUGAAGGUAAUGCAUGCAUACAAAUGGCGUAAUGCCAAUUUGUAAUUGUCAUAAUUGGAUCAACCACAACACUCGGCAAUACGGCUGACAUGACAAGAGUCGACCUAAAUCCCACUUCACCGGCGUAGUUCUAAUCCUAUACUAAAAAGACCAUCUCGAUAGCUCGACAUCAGUCAAAAGUUGAUUGAGCGUCCAUUAAUUAGUAAAUUACUCACACGAUACAAAUCCACAUAUUUGACAAAAUAAAAGAAAAAAAGAAAAAAUGAUACAAUUGAUUUGCUAUCUCGUGAUAGCAUUAUUCAACAUUCACAGACCUCGGAUAAGACAUUCGACUUCAUCAAUUCGUCAUCUUCGGAAGGCAACUACGAACCACGAUUGUGCAUUUCGCGAUAGCAUGUUCGACUUCAAUACCAUUUCAUACUCGGUAGCAGAUAUUUAUACAAAUCCGCCAUCUUCGGACUACAGCAGCUUGACUUUAAAUCGAACCUCAUGUUUGAGACGGAUUACUUAGCAACACCCUAUAGUGCAAAAAAAAUUAGAUGACCGGAAUUUGAUAUCGAUUUGGAUAAAAAUUAAUUAAGAAUCAAAAAAAAGAGAACAAAAUAGUUGACAUUUAAUAAAACAGCCUAAUCAUAAUUACGUUAUGCCCAAUAACAAGAUCAUAUCAUCCACUAAAAAACAAUAAAGUCCAAAUCCAACCGACCAAAAUCAAUCCCCGAAUUAGCCCGACAAAAAUGCAAGCCCAUAAUCAUAUGCAGAUCAGCCCAAAUUAAUCCAGCCCACCAUCCAAUAUAAACCUACCCGUAAAUAAACCCAAAAUCUAAAAAGUCCACAAAUAUAAAUCCGCAAACCAAAUUUACAAAUGAAACCCAAAACCCACACAGUUACAAAAUAAAACAGCCAAAAUCCAAAGCCAUAACAAAAACCCAAAGACCAAACCAAAAAAUAAAAACCUAAAACUCAAAGUCCACAAGAUAAAAUCAAGCUCCAAAAGCCCACAAAUAAACACAAACCCACAUGCCAAAGAAAAUCAAAGGCCCAAAGCCCACCAAAUAAGUCCCCCACAAAUACAAAGUCCACAAAUAAAAUCCGAACUCAAAGCUAGCUACAAAUAAAACCAACUCAAUCUAAUCAUAAAUAAAACCAUCCCACCGAAACCCAAGACAAAGCCCAAAACUAACCAAACCUAUAUCAAUCCAAAGCCUCAACCAACCAAAUUAACCCAAAUAAUUUCACAACUUCCAAAUGAUCCCUAUCAGAAUACAUUCAGAAGCCAAUUCAUAGUUCCCAAAAUGGUCCUCCAUAUCAUAAAUUAAUUCCAUAAAGUAAUGGGUUCAAAUGGACCUCUAAAACCAAUAAAUUAAUUCAAUGAACCAAUUUCAUAGAGUUUCAAAUAGGCCUCUAUUAGAAUAAUCUUCAUGAAAUCAAUUCACGGCUUCAAAAUUCAUAUGACGUCAAAUCGUUAACGAAUUCAAAUUUAAUUAUCAUCAACUCGUAAACUGAACAUUGACCAUUCACAAUUCAGUAAAUUGAACAUCGAUCGUCAAGCUCACUUAAACCUAAUUCAAAAUUCGAAUUCGACCAUCAAAUCAUUAAACUAAUAUUGACAGUCAAGUCUAAAUCUAAAUCAAAAUCAAAAUGAGCAUUCGGAAAGGUCAUUAAAACUAAAUAUCGUUAAUUCAAAAUCCAAAUUGACCAUUAAUCAUUAAACUGAACAUUUGACCAUCAACAGGUCAUUAAACGAAUAAUUUGCCGACAAUCGUAACAAAAUCGUCCGUAAGUGGUUAAACUAAAUUCCAAAUUCAAAGACCAUUCAAUGUAAACUGACCAUUGACUCAUCAAUCCAUUUAAAACAAAAUUCAAAUCAAAUGGGACCGGUCAGUUUAAAGCUAAAUAACCAUAGAUUCAAAUCAAAAUAAGCCGGCUUUAAUUCGUUAAAAGAGUAAACUCCAUUUCAAACACACUUUGACCAUCAAAGUCGUUAACUGAUAAUUAAUAUUGAACUCUUUGGUACCCCGCAAAUGUUAAACUGAGUAAACCAUAUCAAACCUUUUGACCACCAGUUAAAUCGAGACAUCAAUCAAACCCUUUUAACCGCCAAGUCGUUAAACGAUAAACCAAUUUUCAAACUUCUGACCGCUAAAUCGUUAAAACAAACAAAUUAAAAUUCAACCGCCAACCUAUUUUAUUCAACCUCCGUGUCAUUAAACUGAGCGGCCGACCCCGAUAACUGCACCAAUUUAUAAACAUGAUAUUUUAGCUUCAAUAAAAUUCAUUUACAAUAAUGGAUACUCCUCUUAACCUUGUACACUGCAAAAAAUAUUAAAUAAAAAUUUAUUUGGCCUAGCUUUUGUCUUUUUAUACAGCAUUACUUGGUCUCAUUAUAAGGCCUUAAACACUUGAAUGUGUGGCAAUUAACCACAAAUCUGAACCUGUAGAAAUCAUAAACCUAUAAGCUGAUUAAAAGAUAAAUUAAAAUAAUUAACUAGUACCUGAAUGACCCCUCGCCUUAGAAAUACCAAUACGGGCCAGUUCGUCACAAACAGACAAAAAUGGCACCAUCCGUUGCGUCAUGCUUACCUUCAUUUUGAGACCAAUCAAAUAAACUUAUAAAACUCAUAGUAAAAUGUCGACCAAUAAAUAUGCUUCAUCCAAGCAUAGCAAAUGUCAUACCAAAAAUAUCUCAUCAACAAGCAAUACAAUCCGACAACAUCACCCAUCCGAAUAAGAGCAUUGGCACGAUAGUUCAGAGUUAAUCAGAGUUAACGUAUUAAACUCGAUAUCCCUAAUAAAGUACUGCUGAGAGUUGGGCAUCACAAAACAAUAACAAAUCUCAAUCAAUUAAUUAGAAAAUACCUAAAUCAAAACCAGACAAUAAAAACAACAAACUGUCCCAGAAAUAAAAAAAAAAGUUGAGAUCUACUUAAAAUGUACAUAGUUAACGUCUACACACAUCUACAUAACAAAGUUUAAAAGUUCAUAAAAAUGUUAAUUCAUUAGUACAAAAUAGAAAAAAAAAAAAAGAAAAAGAAAAAGAAAAAUAAAACACAAAAAGAAUCCCAUUCCUCAUAAGCCUUCCCUGAGGAAAGGAAUAAUGCCACCAAAGCGAGAAUAUGUAAUCCACUGCAAAGUGUGUACCUUACAUGCAUCAAAUCAAUAAAAAUCAGAAAUUCAAACAAAGGACCAAUUAAAUCAUGGUCAAAUAUUUCGAAAGAAAAUAAGAUUAUUCCGAACUUCUCAAUAUAUGAGAAGCCACUCUUCCUCCAACAACAUGCAAAUAUGGUCAGAGUGCUUGCCCCUGUUCCAAUCAAAAGUCCAUAAACGAGAAAAGAAAAUUCUGUCACAUGUUACAAUAAAUGCAGAACAAAUAUGAACAUAAUACAAAUUCCUCCAAAGAACUACUCCAUAUGGUUUCUUCCAUCUCAGCUAGCAAUGGUACAUACUAUAAUGUACAUACAAGAAGAAGCCAAUCGAAUUAAAACAAAAAUAAAAUAUAAGUAGAGCUGCCGAUGCACUCUUGAAGCACAAGAGAUCGUCUCAAUGCCUACUCAAUUUCAAUAUGGCAUUCGAAAUCAAUGAUCCCCACUUAUACCAGAUAUCUGAUAAUCCAAGAACGAAAAUCAUAGAAUUUGAAAGCUAUUUUCGCACAAUCUAUCAAAUGCCUGAACGUAAAAUUAACAAUCUUCAAAAAUACCCAGAUAGUAAGAUAGCUCAAUCAUAUCCGGGUUCCCUGAUCUUAGAUCAUGUAUCGUCAGAUAUCAAGGUUACUGAUGUAUAUCAUAUAUGAAAUCGAUUCUCGAUAAAAAAAAUGAACUAUUUGAUUAAUUGACACUUGCUUAAAACAAGCAACAUCUACCCAUACCACCGUAAAAAUUUUGAGACCUCUGAUACCUAGGACAAAGGUUCAUAUAAAAAAUCUACGAAAUUCUGGUACUUCAAUACUCUAAUUAUUUUAACUAUGAGUUUAAUUCCUAUCAUCACAAUAAUGAAUGAAGGCACGAAAUCCCUCCACCUCUUCAGCAUAGUAACUCUAAUCCACAAAUCAAUUCCCAACAUAAAUAGACUCAUCAAUGUUUGCUACAUAAAGUACCUGGCUCCUAUUCACCCCACUCACAACGAGCUAUGGAAAAACCUGCGCAAGAAAAAAUAUUGUGUUGCACAGAUAAUGAACUACAGAAGUACACAACAUUCAGUGAAGAACGUCGUAUCCAAGAUUUUUACAACUUUAACGAAACAUACCUUCAGUACAAAUAGGAGAAAAUCGGCGUCAGGAAUUCUCUGCUUCUUUUUCGAUCCUAUCAUUUCCUACAAAAAGAGCAAUCCAAUUCAUGCGUAACAUAAAUCAGCUUAACUAGUAGUUGCAAAAAAGAUCAUCAAUCUCAUAAUCUCAUUCUCGGCCUUGUAACUGCAACAUUAAUUCCAAAAAUCUCGACUAUCAAAAUACGCACCCAAUCACUUAAACGUACAGAUUAAAACACUCACNNNNNNNNNNNNNNNNNNNNNNNNNNNNNNNNNNNNNNNNNNNNNNNNNNNAGCUCACCCCACUCCAACAAUCCGACCAAAAAUCAAUGGUACUAUCGUUUCCCAGUUUAUAUAUAUUCCCAUUUAAAGAUUAUCAGAUAGAUUAGAACUUCUUUGUCCACCGUGGGAAGAGCCUAAAGGAUCUUCCUUUCCUUCAAAGGUCUUCUUCUACGAGUAGUAUAGGGGCUUGAAUAAACCUGUGUUUCCACUAUAAUUGAGGCGUCGUGUGAACUAUCACCACAUGUUGGCAGCAUAUCAAUUUUAUGGAUGCAUUCUUUAGGACUUCAGAUUUUAAUUUUUGAUUGAAAUUUUUUAUGUAUUUUUGACUUGGGUUAUUUCUUUUUCAUAUGAAUCGGAGAUUUAUGCUUAUAACUAAAACUAAGAACCAUAUUUGAUUUAUUUUCUCUUGUUCAUUCAUUGUGUGCUUCCUGUGGAACUUUAAUUUUCCUUAAUUGAUUACCCGGUUAGUUCUUAUUAUUAUUUAAUUAAGUUACCCUUAAUUCUUAAUUUAUUUAAUUAGCUUUAGGUCAAUCUAAGGUUAGUAUGAUAAUUAGGUCCAUUAUAAGUUGGAAGUGGUCCCCUUAGGGUUGAGUCGAUCCCCAUUAAGUUAUAAUUCUAACCAAAUAAUUCAAAAGCUAAAACUGAUAUUGUCAAAAACGGACAAAUCUAUUAAUAGUAUUCUAGGCCCAACUAUAUAUAUAUAAUAAUAUAUUAUAUUAUAUAUUAUAUUAUUAUAUGAUAUAUAUAUUAUAGUAUAAUUCUAGAGGGAGAGUCACGUGGACCUGUGAGUCACUCCCUCUCACAACGGUCACUAGCCAAAGUGGCUCAAUGGACAGCAAAACAAGGCCUGCCAUAAGCGCCAUCUAUUUGUUUUCCACAACUUUCGUCGUUGAAAAACGAAAGCCAAAUUUUUCAUAUAUGUCAAGUUAAGUUUUCAUGAAAAAUUUUUAUACCUCCAACAAACACGCAAAAGCUAAUUUUUCGUCGAAAAUUUUUUUUCCACAAAUUUUACACUUUUACAUAGAACCAAACAGCACCUUAUAGAAAGAGUAGUGCUAAGGAUACUCACAAAUAUAUUCUAUUGUACUAUUGAUAAUAGUACAAUAUUAUUAUUAUUUUAUUACACUCUAACAUUAAUUAUUAAAUUCUUAAUAUUAUUGAAUUCUAAACACCAUCAUUAUAUCUGAAAUACUAAAUUUUGAAUCCGUCUACAUGUGUGUACCAACACAUUAAUAAUAUAAUAUAAUAUUUUUUUAAAAAAAAAUAAUAUAAUAGAAUACCUAAAAGUGGGAUACUCUAUAAAUAUUUCUCUGGCAAUAAUAUCCUGCAUAUUAGAUAAACGAUCUAAUUAAUUAAUUAAUUAAUGUAUAGAAAAUUCGUUAUAGUCAUAUGACAUACAUGAUUUUUUUUUUUUGAGAAAGAGAUAGCAUACCAUUCAUUUUAUUUAUUUUUUUAAAAAAUAAAUUUAGCUAAAAAUAUAAAAUAAUUAGAAUUCGAAUUUAAAAUUUUGAAUACUAAUCAUUAAAUUUUACCCCUUAUGCUUUGGGCGGUGGAUAUGUACAUGAGAAUGGCGGCGCAAAAGACUUGAGAGGAAGACUCGAAGUGGUGGGAACAAAACUUACGAUUCUUCUCCUCCACUUUCCCACUCAUUCAACACCACAAGCAAAACUAUGCAUGCCUGAACCUAGUGUAUUAUAUUACAGAUGUUUCAAUUAAUCAUAGAUUUAAUUUAUUGAAUGAUUAAAUUCUUUGGUUCUUUAUAAAUUGAACAGUGUCAUUUUCUAUGCUGUUUAUUUUCAAACCACUAAUAUGGACUAACUGUGAUAGGUUUUCAAAUUUUAUAAUCUUUAUUUAUAGUUUCUUUUGAUGUUAUAAAUUACAUUUAUUGAAUUUUUUUAUUAAAUCCUAAAGAGUGUGGAAUAUUGGAAGAAAUUUUGAAAAUCAUACAGAAAAAUAUUAAAAAUUUUUAAAAUUUUUAAAAAUAUACUUAAAGUUUGUUUGCAAUUGCGCGGAGCUUGUAUUACGUAAGACGAGAAAGUAUAAUGAAAAAAUAUUUUAUUUAUUUUCCUACGUAAUAUUGUGUUUUGUAUAUCGCAAUGAAUUAAUUAUUAUAUGUUUUCUGUAGUUUUACUAGAGAGCCUAAAAUAUAUUUUUAUAUAUAUUUUUCUUUUUCUAACUUUAUUUUAUGAAACAGCGCCGGAUGGGCAUCAAUACCAAAUGGGGCCAUAGAUAUUACCCCUUAAUUAAUCCUUUAAUAUAAAAAUACGGUACCAAACUAGCCCAUUUCUCAUUAUAAAAAUCUCGCUGAAAUUGUUAUCGGCCUUAAUGAACAGCAGCAUUUCACAAGAAAAGUCUCACAAACUUCUUCAUGUGGGCACCAACCAAACCUGCAGUCAUUAUUAGUGUCAUGAGCACCCUUCCCUCCCGGAAACUCCUCCUAUCUCUGCACCUCAUCUCGCUACUCUGCCUUCCCCUCUUGCCGCACGGCCAAAUCUGCGGCAACACCGGCGGUAACUACACGACCGGCAGCCCCUACGAGUCCAACCUCCACCACCUUCUGGCUUCUCUCGCCUCCGCAGCCCCUGCCUCCGAUGGCUUCUCCGCCGCUGCCGCAGGCGAGUCUUCUGACCGAGUGUUCGGCGUCGCCCAGUGCCGCGGCGACGUCAACGCCACCGACUGCCGCGCCUGCCUCGGUACCGCUUCCGCCGGCAUCCUGCAGCGCUGCCCACACAGCAGAACGGCCGAAAUCUUCAUGGACCAGUACUGCCUGCUCAAGUACUCCGACCGGAACUUCACCUCCUUCCCCGAGACCUCGGAGCAGACGUUCGCGUGGAACAACAACAACGCGACAUUCCCGGAUUACGCCGAGGACGCCACCGGCUACAACUUCGUCAACCAGGUGCUGGACACGCUGCUGAGCAGCAUCGCCGAUGCAGCCGCGUCGAGCUCGAACUCCGUCAAGCUGUUCGCGACCGGCGAGCUGAGCACCACGAAGGGUUUUCCAACGACAUACGGGCUGGCGCAGUGCCUCCCGCACAUCGGGGGCUCGGAGUGCCGCCAGUGCCUCCAGGGGCUCGUCAAUGAGACACUGAAGUUGUUCGACGGGCGGCAAGGCGGCCAAUUUCUCGUCGGCUGGUGCUAUUUAAGGUACGAAGUGUACUUGUUCUACUACGGGAAGCCGACGAUAAGCCUGUUUUCUUUUGCACCGGUGAACCUGCCCAGCUCGCCGCAGCCUCCCGGCCCUCCGCAAAUUCCAACUAAAAGUGAGGAACUGCACUCUUUAUGCCAUUCUCAUCUGUAUAUGCUAUACAUAAAUAGUGUACAUCUUACAGCCAUGCACUCUUUAUGUCAUUUUCAUCUAAAAAUAUGGUGGACAUCUUAAUUACAGCAGCCACUCAUCUAAAGAUUUAGAAAUUCCUUUUGGGUUUUUAUCAUUGAAGGACAAAAAAUAAAAAAGAAAAAAUGAAAAACCUGUGAAGAAUAUCAUGUUUUCCGUGGAUGAGGUGUUUGAUUAUAUGCUGCUGUAGAUGUACAGGUAUCAUUACUUUUUUGGUUUUUAAAUAUAUAAAAUAUUAAAAUUAAUUUUUUAAGCAGUUUGUGUUUUUAGGGAGGUCGAUUUAUUUCACUGGGCAGGAGGAUUUAAUAAGUACUAAUAAAUAAAAAAAAAAAGCCAAUCUUUUUGGCCUUUUUGCAUAAAAAAUUCACUUAUUUUGGGCUUUUGCAAAAUCGGGUCACCUUUUUCGUUUUUGCAAAUUCGGUCCGCUUUUUCAACAAACUGACCAAAAUACCCUUAUUACUUUUUCUCUUUCCUCUUUCUCUCUCCUCUUCGUUCUCUCGUUCUAUUUUUUUUCGCCGAAAAAAAAUAGCGAAGGCCAGGCGGGCGCGCCGCGGGAGCACCGCCAGGCGGGCUCUUCUUCUUCUUCUUCUUCCUGCAGGACCAAUUUUUUUUUCUCUUUUUUCUUUUUCUUCUUCUUUUUUCUCCUGCUGGAGCUUUUUUUUUUUUNNNNNNNNNNNNNNNNNNNNNNNNNNNNNNNNNNNNNNNNNNNNNNNNNNNNNNNNNNNNNNNNNNNNNNNNNNNNNNNNNNNNNNNNNNNNNNNNNNNNNNNNNNNNNNNNNNNNNNNNNNNNNNNNNNNNNNNNNNNNNNNNNNNNNNNNNNNNNNNNNNNNNNNNNNNNNNNNNNNNNNNNNNNNNNNNNNNNNNNNNNNNNNNNNNNNNNNNNNNNNNNNNNNNNNNNNNNNNNNNNNNNNNNNNNNNNNNNNNNNNNNNNNNNNNNNNNNNNNNNNNNNNNNNNNNNNNNNNNNNNNNNNNNNNNNNNNNNNNNNNNNNNNNNNNNNNNNNNNNNNNNNNNNNNNNNNNNNNNNNNNNNNNNNNNNNNNNNNNNNNNNNNNNNNNNNNNNNNNNNNNNNNNNNNNNNNNNNNNNNNNNNNNNNNNNNNNNNNNNNNNNNNNNNNNNNNNNNNNNNNNNNNNNNNNNNNNNNNNNNNNNNNNNNNNNNNNNNNNNNNNNNNNNNNNNNNNNNNNNNNNNNNNNNNNNNNNNNNNNNNNNNNNNNNNNNNNNNNNNNNNNNNNNNNNNNNNNNNNNNNNNNNNNNNNNNNNNNNNNNNNNNNNNNNNNNNNNNNNNNNNNNNNNNNNNNNNNNNNNNNNNNNNNNNNNNNNNNNNNNNNNNNNNNNNNNNNNNNNNNNNNNNNNNNNNNNNNNNNNNNNNNNNNNNNNNNNNNNNNNNNNNNNNNNNNNNNNNNCAUUAAUUACACCAUUACACCGUUUUUUUUUUUUUUGCCGACACCAUCCGCCGCAGCCCCUGGGACGUCCACGUCGUCGUCCUUUCGACGACGAUAAUGCACGCCUCCUUCGCCGCCUCAUCCGUCGCCAUGGUCGUUGUCGCUAUCGGCGGUGCGGCGGAGGAAGAGGCUGCGGAGUUCGUCGGCGGCGGCGGCGGCUGGAGCGGAGUGAACCGGAGUGGCGCCCGGCCGGCGCCGUCGACGCGUCCGGCGUUGGCCUGCUGCACUCGGCCAUCGCGCAGGGCCGGCCGGACCUCGUCCAGCUGCUGCUGGAGUUCGGCGCCGACGUCGAGCCCCCGAGCCGCGGGCCGACGACGCCGCUCAAGGCGUCGGCGCCGGCGGGGGAGGCACUGAUCGCGGAGCUGCUCCUGGCGCGGGGCACGCAGCUGCGGCGCGGGGCCGGGUCGGCGGCGGGGCCGAUGCACGCGGCGGCGGCGGGCGGGCACGCGAGCGCGCUGCGACUGCUUCUUCUUCUUCUUUAUGGUGUAAUGGUGCACCAUUACACCAUUAAUGGUGUAAUUUCAUGGUGUAAUGGUGCACCAUUGCACCAUUACACCAUUAAUGGUGCACCAUUACACCAUGAAAUUACACCAUUAAUGGUGUAAUGGUGCACCAUUGCCCCCUUCCCUCCCAUCACGUGCGGCACGCACGGGGCCCAUUCCAUCCUCUUCACCCUCUCCCACCACCUCCCCACGGCGCGCGGGGGCGAGCUCGGGGGCUCAGCGGGGGAGGAGCGGUGCGCGGGGGCGAGCUCGACGACGCGACGCACGGGGGCGCAGCUGUAGCGGCGGAGGAGCGGCGCGGGGAGGAGCAGGAACUUGGCGAGGAGGAUGGAGUAGCGGUCGCGGCGCGUGCCGUAGAUCCACUCGCGGCACGCGGGAUCGAGGUCGUGGGCGCGGCCGAAGAAGCCGACGAGGGGUGGCGCGGGGCCGGAGCGGGAGGAAGAAGAAGAAGAAGAAUAGGGAAAAAAAAAAAAAAAGUGCUCCAGCAGGAGGAAGAAGAAGAAGAAGAAGAAAAAGAAAAAGAGAAAAAAAAAUUGCUCCUGCAGGAAGAAGAAGAAGAAGAGCCCGCCUGACGGUGCUCCAGCGGCGCGCCAGCCUGGCUUUCGCUUUUUUUUUUCGGCGAAAACAAAAAGAAUGAGAGAACGAAGAGGAGAGAGAAAGAGGAAAGAGAAAAAGUAAUAAGGGUAUUUUGGUCAGUUUGCUGAAAAAGCGGACCGAAUUUGCAAAAAUGAAAAAGGUGACCCGGUUUUGCAAAAGCCCAAAAUAGGUGGAUUUUUUAUGCAAAAAGGCCAUCUUUUUUUGAUACUCUAAACCCUUUUUUUUAAAAAAAAAGACAAUCUCUAACAUACCACAGAUUCCUAUCAAAACCCUCAAUUCAAAAUUAAUGACUACCAAAUCUUCUUUUAAAAUAAAAAAAAUAGCAUUUGAAUCGAUAAUAUGGAACAAGAAGAAUAGUGAGUAGUUAUAAAUAGAAAAUAAUAAAUAGCCCCUUAUAUAAUAUUUAAAUUUAAAAUUUAAAAUUUUAUAUUAAAAUAUUUAAAUUUAAAUAUAUAAUUUUUAAAUUUUAAAAUUUUUAAAUUUAAAUUUAAAUUUUUAAAUCUCAAAUUCAAAAGUUGAAAAUUCUAAAUUUUAAAUUUUAAAUUUUAUAUUUAAGAUUAAAUUUAAAUUUAAAAAUCUAAAAUAUCAAUUUUAAAUUUUAAAAAUUUAAAAUAAUAUUUUAAAAUUUAAAAUUUAAAAAUUAAAAAUUUAAUUUUAAGAUUACAAAUUAUGUUUUUUUUAAUUUAAAAAUUAAAAUUUAAAAUUUAAUUUUUUAAAAAAAUUAAAUUGUGAUAGAAUUAAUUUUUAAAAUAAUAAUUUAAAUUUUAAAAUUUAAAUUUAAAAAUUUAAUUUUAAAAUUAUAAAUUAUAAUUUUUUAAAUUAGGGUGGGAUUAGCUAAUCCCACCUAAUCCCACCCUAACUCGUUAGGGGUGGGAUUAACAAACCCUACCACCAUUUAAUUGUAUUUGGGGAUAAGGAGGGGUAUAUCCCCUUAUCCCCCUCCCUAUCCCAUAACCAAAUGCCGGCUUAGAGACAGUAAUGAUAUCAUUAUAUAUUUUGUGGAGAUGUCAGUAAUAGAAGCGAGGAACAAUAACACCUAUAAGCUGCUUCUCUUUUUUUUUUGAAAAAGAUACUAUGUUAUCCGCUUCGUUACUUUUUAAACAAAUAAAAUUAGUUGAAAAUAUUAACAAUUAGACAUCGAACUUCGGCUCUCGGAUGCCAAUUGUCAAACUCUUUGUCACUUCUGCUAGGGACCGUCGAUACUAUUAAUAUUUUGUCGAUCGCUUAAUUAUAGUAUUUUAUUGGUAACACUUAUUUUCAUGCACAGGGCCGGGGAAAAGUAAGCUUCGUAUUAUCAUUAUAGCUAUAUGUCUCGCGGUAUUCCUUUCUUGCUCCCUGUUGUGUCUUAUGUGUAUCAAAAGGCAAAGGCGCGCAGGUAAAUUCAAAUUAAGUGUUGUAAAGUGCUUAUAAUUAAUAGAAAAUUUCUUAAUCUAAGACUUUCUCAUUUUCAUUAUCCAGGAAAGGCAAAGUUGCAAAUCACUCUACCAACUUUCACUUUUGAUACUGAUGAAGUUAUCAAGCAUUGGAAGAGCGAAGAAAGAAGCUCUGGAUUUUCAUUAUUUGAUUUUGAUACCAUAACAAACUCCACGAAUAAUUUUUCUAUCGAAAACAAACUUGGUGAGGGCGGAUUUGGGACUGUCUACAAGGUAAUUAAAGUGUAAUCUUUUUUUAAUCUCCUAAAAAAGAAUCGAAAUGGCACUUGCCGAAGCCAAUUUCUUGACAUUAAUUAAUUGGCAAGUAUUUAUAUCUGUGUACUAUUUUUUUUUAAAAAAAAAAAGUGUUACACUGAGUAACACAACUAUAUAGACACACACGAAAUCAAUUCAUAAUGAUCAAUAAUAAUUGAAGUACAACUUUGUGAGCCUGCUCCUUUGUUAAAAGUUUUAGUUUAAAAUCUCUAGCUGCACUACGUGCAAAUCUAAUAUAUAUAUAUAUAUAUAUAUAGAGUGAGGUUACUAUGCUACCGGAAGCACGGAGCCUUUCGUGCUUCCAGCUCGUUUUCGAUGUUGCGACUUUCGAAUUGUCGAUCGGCUCUAUUAAACUUGAUCUAGAGUAUUUGGAGUACCUAGAAAAUAAAUUUUAUUAUUUUUCGAUAUCAUUUGCCUAGUGAUCGAAUGAGCUCAAAAUCAACAAAUUUCAAUGACCGUAGUGAGCUGUUUGCAAGUUUAACGGUGUAAAAAUAUCCAAAUCAUGUGAAAUUUUGAUAGAAAAUUCUUUAUACUAUAUAAAACAAGAUCAAUAUCUUUGAUUUAAAAUUUUAAUGUCAUAUUAUUACAUUUUGUAAGAUUUUUAUUUUCAGCCGUUGAUUUUGAGCCCCUUCGUUCACUAGGCAAAUGAUAUCGUAAAAUCAUAAAAUUUAUUUUCUUGGUACUUCAAAUACUCUAGAUCAAGUUUAACGGAGCCGAUCGACGAUUCGAAAGUCGCAACAUCGAAAACGAGCUGGAAGUACGGAAGGCUCCAUACUUCCGAUAGCAUAGUAACCUCACUCUAUAUAUAUAUAUAUAUAUAUAUAUAUUCUUCUAUUAACUGCAGCUUUGGAGGAGUAUAUAUUUAUCUUUUUCUUAAAUAGGAUGAAGAAAAAAAAUUAGUUCAUUUUUUUUUUCAUUUUGAAAACCUGGGCACGUACUAUGCCAUAUAACAGGGCCAAUUAUCGGAUGAGCUUGAGAUAGCAGUAAAGAGACUCUCCGCCCAUUCAGGCCAAGGUCUAGUGGAAUUCAAGAAUGAGAUUCAACUUAUAGCAAAACUUCAACAUCGAAAUCUCGUGAGGCUAUUAGGUUGUUGCAUUCAAGGAGAAGAGAAAAUACUAAUCUAUGAAUAUAUGCCGAACAAAAGCUUAGAUUUCUUCCUCUUUGGUUCGUAUCAAUCAUUCUGCUCCAAUUGCUCUUUUCUUCUCUUUCCACACUUUCUUUGUUAUGUUAGUUUGCCUGUCUCAGAUCAAACAAGAGGACUAUUAGACUGGCAAAAGCGCUUUACUAUUGUUGAAGGGAUAGCUCAAGGACUUCUUUAUCUUCACAAGCACUCUAGACUACGAAUUAUCCAUCGAGAUCUAAAGGCGAGUAACAUUCUCUUGGAUUACGAAAUGAGCCCUAAGAUAUCUGAUUUUGGCUUAGCUCGAAUUUUUGGUUCCGACGAAACUCAAGCAAACACAAACAGGAUUGUUGGCACGUAGUAAGUUUAUAUAGAUCAGCUUAUUUAUGUAUCCAUCACUACAGGAUAUUACUUGUGUUGAUAUUUUUGAAAUCAAUUUGUUUUAGUGGCUACAUGUCUCCCGAAUAUGCUUCUGAGGGUCUUUUCUCAGUCAAAUCUGAUGUUUUUAGCUUCGGCGUCUUACUUAUCGAGAUCGUAAGCGGAAAGAGAAAUAUUGGUUUCCACCAAUACGGGAAUCAUUUUAACCUCCUCGGAUAUGUAAGUAAAAAAAAAUCGAGCACUUCAUUCUUAAAAUAUUUUUCUAUAGAAAUUAUAUAUUAUGGCAUUUUAGUUCAUUUUCUGAGAAACAAGACUAUUGAUGUUCUCUUAAAUUUUAUGUCAUUGGUGACAAAAUUGUCACAGGCAUGGGAGCUUUGGAAAGAGGGGAAAUGGUUCGAGCUCAUCGAUCAGAAACUAGAAGACAGUUUUGAAGCAUGUGAGAUAUUGAGAUGCAUUCAUGUGGCACUUAUGUGUGUUCAAGAGAAGGCCUCCGAUCGACCGACCAUGUCGAAUGUGAUUACGAUGCUAAGCAUCGAUAGCACGAGCCUACCGGAUCCGAAACAACCAGCUUACUUCAAUGUGAGAAUCAAGGAUGAAGCAAAGAUGGCGUCUGAUUUCAUCGUCCCUAACACCGUAAAUGAGAUUACUUUUAGUGAUCCGGAAGGUCGAUAAUGUUACUUCAAUUGUGUUGUUUUUCCUUUUUUUUUUUUUUUUUUUUUUUUUUUUUUUUUUUUUUUUUUUUGAGAUAAUGUCCAUACCAGUAUUAUCGGUUGUCCUAUUAUCAUAUAAGAUACAAUUUAAGUUGAAAAUAUGGAGAAAAUGUUAGUCAAAAAAUCUUGGCUGUACAAUUACUCUAGAGAGAAAGUAUUAACAUGGUUGUAAUUAGUUAAGCAUGAACAUAUCAUGAUGAUCGCGAUAAUUUAGGCUAAAUUGGCCAAUACUACGAUCAAGGCCACUAGCAUAGCCUCAGGUUAAUAUUGUUGAACAUAAAUAUUAAAAAUACCAUUCUCUAAUAACUUGAGUUUACAGAAAAACGUAUUAUUUGCAUUAUUUAAUAUUGUAUCAGAGCAUAAAGUCCUAUGCUCAGAUUCAGUCAAACUCCUGACAUUAUUUAGUUUCCUUCUAUUAAUUAAGUUUACGUCUUUGGGCCUAUCAAAAUAUUUUCAGUCCAGACAUGGGAGGGUACAAAACAACCGUUUUCUCUAAAACUUAGGCUACCAAAUAAUAUAUAGUAUUUUUAAUAUUUAUAUUCAACAAAUAUUGGGCCGUUGUGCUUUUAUUUUCUUUGAAUCUAGCUUAGAAUUUAUUCUGCUAUGCUGUAUGGUGUAGCACAAUUGAGCUUUCUCUUUUGCUUGACAUCCUAGCAAAUGAAAAUCAAAUAAAACCCAAAUGCCAAACUCAAAUCAUUAUUUUUCUGAAUUAUUCUUUUUUAUAAUAGUUUAUAUCAAUUUUAUGGGUUGCGUUCUAUGGGACUUCAGACUUUUAUUUUUUGAUUUAAUUUUUUAUUAUUUUGACUUGGGUUAUUUCUUUUUCCAUGUGAAUUGGAGAUUUUAUUAUAACUAACAACCUAAGAACCAUAUGUGAUUAUUUUUCCUUGUUCAUUUCAUUUGUUGCUUCACUGUGGAACUUUAAUUUUCCUAAUUGACAUACCCUUAGUUCUUAAUUAUUUAAUUAGUUUACCCUUAAUUCUUAAUUAUUUAAUUAGCUUUAGUCAAUCUAAUCAAUCUGAUGGAAAUUUUAUUAACUUAAUAGUGAUUUUGUUAUAUUUAGCAGCCAAUUUUGUUAACUAUCAAUGUCUGAUAACUGUCGAUCGACGGGUUAAUCAAGUUAAAUUCUUAAUUUACACCAAAAAAAGUAAUUUAGAUACAAUAAAUUUGGGUUUAGUUAGUAUACAAAUUGAUUGGUCUAUUUCACUAGGCAAUAUAACUAAGUCCUUGAGAUGUCUUGCAUGCAAUUGUGCGUAAAGUUCAGCUUUGCCACAAGCUAAGGAUAUAUUAAUUGUUGAGUUUAAAAAGGCUGAGUACAAUUUCGCGAAAGUACAGGACCAAGAUAAAAUUUGACUUAAACUUGGGAGCUGUUUUGCAAUUUACCCUGGUUUGUCUCAACUUUCUCUCUCUACUUGCUGGUAGAAAGAAGAGAGAGAAACGCAGCUUGUCCGAAUUUCUAUUCAACCCUUAUAAGAUCCAGGGCUGGAGAUCAAGCUCUUUAGUCAGUUUCCACUAAUCCACGGGGUAUUGAAGAAUUUCUCUUUUCUUUGAUGAAUGUUUUCUGCAUAUUGCAUAUGGUUUAAUCGAUUCCAUAUAAUUGGCGAAAUAGGUAUAGUGUUCUGGAGCUGAGUAGCUAAGUUCGGAUACAGUAUGGAUAGUUGGUCGACGGGUCUGUAGAGUGGUGGAUAGAGUCUGAACCGUUUUAACGUGAAAUAAAUGCAAAGGGCUUGGAACAUCCAAACUACUGGAACUGAAAUUUCUGAAAUAUUAUAUAGUCACGUUAAAAGGUUUAGCCCUAUUAUAUCUUAUAUACAGAACUAUUCGAAAUCCUGGGGGCGUCCUUAAGCUCCGACUUACUCAUUAGGUUCAAAUAUACUUAUAGGCAUCAGGCGAUAUGAGACUCGUCUCUUCAUGCUUGUCAUUCAAACCCUGAUUUAGCUGAGACUCAUAUCACAUUUUGAGCUCGUGAUUGUCUCUGACACCAAUCAUGACACUCGCUUCCUAGGAGAUCAUCCAUUCUAUAAUUACUCUAGUCCUAAACUUGCUUAAUACUUUUAAAGUGUUAGGUCUGACUAUCGUCUAAAAUAUUAUAGCCGGAUUGAGAAACUCAGUCAUAUUAUAUUUUAUAUAGAACUAUUCCAAAUCCUUAGAAGGUGUUAUAGCAGGUCUUUACUAAUAUAACGAUUAUCUCAGACUUUUCGAUUAUGCAAGUAGCUACAAAUUCCAAUCUGUAUCAUUUUUUUUUUUUAAUUGUGUAUAUAUCUUUUUUUUGCUUUUUUUUUUUUGAGAGACAGGUAGCACGCUACCCGCUUCGUUUAUUUUAUUUAGAAAUAAACUUAGAUAGAAAUGUGAAUCAACUAGGAUUCGAACUUGGGUCUCGGGUACCAACCACCAAGUCCUUUGCCACUUGCUCUAGAGACCGUCGGUAUUAAUUGUGUAUAUAUCAAUUUGCUAAUUAUGUAAUUAUUCCUCUCUUAGGAUAUCAGCUAUUGAAGGCAGGCAAAUGGUCUAAGCUUAUAAAUCCAUCAUUAUUAGGCAACACUGAUGGUUAGAAAAAAUGAGAAAUUUAGAAACAUUGCUGCAGCAGCAUUAAUGUGUGUCCAAGAGAGGAAUAAUUACAUAAUUAGCAAAUUGAUAUAUACACAAUUAAUACCGACGGUCUCUAGAGCAAGUGGCAAAGGACUUGGUGGUUGGUACCCGNAUCCAUCAUUAUUAGGCAACACUGAUGGUUAGAAAAAAUGAGAAAUUUAGAAACAUUGCUGCAGCAGCAUUAAUGUGUGUCCAAGAGAGUGCUGCAGGUCGAUCCACCAUGCUAAGUAGUGACAGUAAUAAGAGCUUAAUCGAUUCGAAGCAGCCAGCUUAUUUCAAUGUAAAAAGUAAAGCUGAAGAAGGAAUGUUAUCAGUGUUAAGAGGUGACAUAUGAACUCUUUUAAAUCUAUAUGCAUAUUUGUCACGCCAAGAACUCUGUUCUUUAUAGAAGAUGAAAAUAUGAAACGCUCUUUGAUCAGCAUCAUGCGCCUCCGCCGCUCCCUCUCCACAUGUACCCAAACCCUUAAAUCCCUCUCCGUCCCCCGCUCCCGCGCCCUCUCAUGGAUCCCGGUUAGUAUAAAACCACACACACACUCUCUCUCUCUCUCUCUCUCUCUCUCUCUCACAUCACCGCUCCUCGCUCACCUUCUCUCUCUCUCUCUCUCUCUCUCUCUCUCUCUCUCUCUCUCCAAUUCCUUAGACGGGGAAGCUCCAACAAACCCUAGCCUCGUCGAUCGCCGUGUCGGGGACGGGGCUCCACUCCGGCGCCGGCGCCACCGCGCGGCUCCUCCCGGCGAUGGCCGGAGAGGGGCGGUACUUCGUCGCCGGCGCCUCCGCGCGGGCGAGGAUCCCCGCGGCGGUGGAGCACGCCGUGGACUCGCCGCUCUGCACCGCGCUGUGCCGCGGCGGCGCGCGGGUGCGCACCGUGGAGCACCUCCUCUCGGCGCUCGAGGCAAUGGGCGUCGACAAUUGCAGGAUCGAGAUCGAGGGCGGCGAUGAGGUUCGUGUCUAUUUCUCGAAAUAUUACUCUCAAUCUGAAAAAAGUUGCUAUCAACAUGUUGGUUUUUUAUGUUAAUUUCAUGUUUCCACAUCUAAUGGUAUUGAGAAUAAGACAUUUUCUAUGUGACUAUCCACUUCGCGAUCCGAACAUGUUCUAUUUUUGUUUCAUAACUAGUGAAUAUUUCAUGAUGAUUUAGUGAGUUAUGUAUUGGGCAUCCUAUUCUAGCGAAAAGCAUUGAGUAGCCUGUAAAAAUGUAUGGACCUCAUCUGAACUAUGUUGCAAUUUGAAAAGGGCGCCUGAAUUUUAAUAAAUUUGAUUUUAACUAUGUAAUUUUAGUAGCUUUUGAUUUAGUAUGUUACGAGCGGAAGAUAAUGUUACUUUUGACUUUAUUUAUUUAUUUUUUGACAGGAUAAUUUAUAUUUUGCUAUUUCGUGGAAUAAUCUAUAAGUUUUCCAAUGAAAAAUUGUGAAAUUCUACCAGAAUUUGUCAAAAAUUAUCGGAGAAUUUUGCAGAAAUAAAAAUGAAUAAAAGGUUAGUGAAGAUCUAGACAUUUUACAUGUACUUUAAUGGCUCAACGAUGUUGCAAAUAUCGACCCAGAAUAUUCAGUUAUACUCUGAUAUGAAACUUUUAUCCUUGUUAUAUUAGGUGUUACAUUUUCCUUAUUCUGAUGAAAUACUCAAAUCAGAUAAACUCUUAGGCUUACUCUGUGCUUUGAGGUUACAAAUACAGGGGGAUAUUCUCUUGUAUACUUUGAGGAUAAUAGUAUAGUUCGAGUGAUUACUCCAAUUUUUUUGAUUACUUAAGAUUAUUAAGCGAGACUCAAAUAGCUUGUAUGAAACUGGGUAAUUAAGUUCUCCUUUUUGAUAAAUACUGCAGAGUUUAUUAGUCAUAUGCUUAUGAUAUUUAUGAUUUACUCUUGCCAAGUAUGUAAAUCCUCUUUUUAUCUAGGUUUAUUCUAAAAUACAUUUCAUAUUUUAGAAAAAAGAUCUACAUUAAUGUUUCUUAACAUUGCCUAUAAAUGGAAUUGUAUUAAAAAUGUACAGAUUUGGAACUAUAUCAUGUUUCGUUGAUACUUUGGCUGAAUCGCUAGUUAUUUUACAGGUUCCUUUAUUAGAUGGAUCGGCAAAAGAAUGGGUGGAGGCAAUAGAGCAUGUUGGCUUAUGCGCUGCUGAGGAUUCUAAUGGUAAUAAUAUGGAUAAGCUAGUAGCUGAACUCCAUGUGCCAGUAUAUUUAUGGCGGGAUGGUGCUUUCAUUGUUGCCUUUCCUUCUUCAAAGAUUCACAUCACCUAUGGAAUCGAUUUCCCUAAGGUACAUUUUCACUUCUUUUGCAGGUGCAGAACCUUCUGGACAUUGGUGAUUAAAAAUUCCGAGAUUCCUCUAUUCACUUGUGACAUUUUAUAUUAGUAAUUGAGGGUUGACAAUAUCAUGUUAUAUUUAGUUACUGAAGUAUGAAAUUGCAAUUAGCAUGCAAAUUGAUACGCUUAUUAGUGCUUUCUGUUUUCCUUCAUCUCGUUUGUUUAUCAUCACCAAUCAGAUCAAUUUAUAUCAUCAAAUGCAUCAUGUAAGAAAUUGUGAAUAAAAAAUUCUUUCCAACAAUCAAUGGUAUCAAUUGUGAGAUCCCUUAUUUUAUUAAAAUUCUGUACAUUAACUUUUCAUUUUCAUCUUUAAUUUUAUUUUCUUGAGCUUCCCUUUUAUAUAUUCAUGUUGAGCUUUGCAAAUGUUUAUUAAAUUUAUAUUUCGAACUUCUGAAAAGUUUUUAGGGUUCUGGCAUGAUGACCAAGUGUUUGAAACUCUCUUGAAAAGGAAAAAGUUUGUGAGCUUGUUUAGGAAUUUUAUCAUUGUAUGCUUAUGAUCUUUAGCUAGAGGGUGUCAUCCUUUGUCUGAAUAUUCAUCUUUCCCUAUAGCACUUUGUAAAGCAAUGUGUAUUUUGACUUCUCUUAAAUCCGAAUAAAUUAAGCCAAAUGAGCAUAAUAUGACAGGUUCCUGUGAUUGGCUGCCAGUGGUUCUCUUCUUUCCUUGAUAGUUGUAUGUAUGCAAAUGAAAUAGCUUCUUCCAGAACUUUUUGUAUUUAUGAAGAGGUAUGAUCCAGUCCUACUCAGAUUAACAUUUAACUGACCGUUAUUGCUACUUCUACAAUUGCUUCUGUUCGUUGCUUGUUGUAUGUGCACGUCUCUUUUUUAUGUGAGCUUGGUAUUCCUGAGACAUUACUUCCUGUGCUAGCUGAAUCUUUCUUUUCUUUUUUUCUUUGAGGGUGGCGUAUAUCGAUAGUUGCGUGCCAACAUAAAUAACAAUACUUUAUGAUGGGUUUUAGGUCCCUUAGCGCAGGGCAAGGCGAUCAUUGGUUGCCAUGGCAUGGCACUUUGCUAUGCUGAUGUGUCGCAUCAAGGGUUCACCCACUGGCAUGCAUCGUAGGUUUUCUAUUGCUGUCUGGAGGUUGUUUCGUGAUAAAAUAUGAUUCUAUUGUGUCAUUUUUGAACAAGAUAGUAAAAUUAAGGCUGAAUUAAAAUAAAGAAUCUAGCAUGUUAGUUUGCCAAAAUCAGUAACAACGCAAUGGGCCUGUUUGACCUAGCUUUGGGGAGUAAUGCUGUUGAAAAUGUGUUGUAGGAAAUAGUGGUGCUGUAAAAAAAAAAAAGAAACUGUAGAGCGUUUGACUGUUUUUGUUAGAAAUACUGUCUAUUAUACAAAGAUGUUUGGUAAAAAACUUUGUUAAAUUAUUAUAAACUAGUAUAAAGUGUAUUAAAAAAAUGAGUUUAAGUUAGUGGUCCCAUUAAUUAUUUUUUAAUAACAAUUUGAAAUUUAAAUUUAAAUUUAAAUUUAAAAAUUAAUUAUAAAUCUAAAUUGAAUUUAAAAUUUGAAUUCAAAUUCACAUUUUUUAUUUGAAAUUCAAAUUUAAAUUUAUAGAUUUCAAAUUAAACAAAAUUAACUUCUAAAAAGUAAAUGGGGACCAAAAUAAAGAAACUUGCAAACAUUGAGAACCAACAUUAUAAUAAACCCAAAGUUUUUUUUUUAUUUUGGUCCCAAAGUUUAUUUUGGUCCCAAAAUUAACUUCAAAAAGAAAAACACCAAAAUUUCUACUGCAGAAGCUACAUUGUUGGAGCUUAUAAGAUAGAAAAGGCAGAAGGGUGCGGAACGCAAUUUUUUGCAUUCCGCUCCCUCCACCAAACAGCUCCAACUGGGGAAAAUCGGUUGCAUUGUGACUUGAUUCAUGCAAAAAUUGUUCUAUGGUAUUUAAUGAUGUUAGCAACUUGGCAUAAGGACACACAAAUAUGCACACAUAUGUUGAUAGGUGUAAAUGCAGAUACACGUUUGAUAUAAGCAAUAAGCAGAUAGAUAUAACAUAGAUAAACUGAUUGUCUGUUGGAUGCAGAUAGAGAGAUGUAUGAUAGAUAGAGAGAUGUAUGGAAUUUUUUAAGCUGUUCAAACAGUUUCAUUUUAAUUCAAAGACGUCUGCUUGAUACUUGCAAUGCUUGUCUUGCUGAAGGUAUCUGGACUUGUAUCUUGUUUCAUGUUCUGAUCUUCUCAUAGAUGUUGAAAGAUCCAAAUCCAGUUAUUAGGUUAUAUAGGACAUAGGAGAAUUUCACUCUCUUGAAAUCUCUAGAGGAUAAUAUGCUAGCAGCUGCAAUUUAAAAACCAUUUCGUGAAUAUAAAAUCAACAAGCAGAACCGACCACAUAAUUAAGAGCAUAAGGGUAUCGAUUACCCACUGCUCUUUAAAUAUGCCUAUUUAGAGUCAUCAGAUCUUUUUAAAGCCAAGUCCAAGUCUGGCUUGUACUAAAUAUCACUUCUUUAUCUUGUUAUUUAUUUCUCAGUUAAGUUAUGUUGCUAAUAUCUUUCUUGUUUCCGUUUUCAUUUUAGUCUUUUCUCCUUGGUUUGUUUGGCAGUUCGCUGAAGAUAUACCAUGCUAAUACUUGUUGAUUAUUGUUUGCUUAUUCUUUUGUCACGUUUGUGUUGACCUGACGCCCUUAAGUUUUUUUCAGGUUGAAAAAAUGCGCAGCGCUGGGCUCAUUAAAGGAGGAUCAGCUAGUAAUGCUAUUGUUUGCAGGUGAGAUGCAGAUUGUUUUUGGCUUUUUUAUGCUCUUAAUUAUUAAAUUCGUCACUUUUAUUUUUUAUGCUUCUUUUGAUGCUCAUUAUGAAUGGGAUUUAUGUCUAAAUUUCCGUAGGCUGUGAUGUAAGGCAAGAAUUGUCUGGUGCAAAAUAUAGCUGAUGGUCCAUAUGUUCCUAAAAACUCACCUUAACACAAAAUCAUAUUGCCUUAGGCCUUAUCUUUAGUAUGUCAGAGUGACAACUGACAUACAAACAGGCUUCUUGUAAUUUUUAAGAAUCAGAAUAAGAUGGUUACUUCUGUACAGCAGAAAGAAAACAAACUGUACGCAAAGAAAAUUUAUGAGCUUGUAGACCAAUUCACUGUCAUCUCCUUUUCUCUUAUUUUGCUUCUUUUUCUUCUUGAGAAUGUUGUCAUUUUUCAUCAUUCUUACAACUAAAUCCUGUUUAUGCUACGUGAUUCUGAAAUAUAUCGGAACCUUUCUCUAGAGAAUUCUUCUGAAACUAUGCAAUGUUCAUCACAAGGUUAAACAUAGGGACCUACGGCAACUUCAACAGGAGGAUCAUUAACUGAUACUUUUCAUGACAUGAUCCCAUUUUCAUGACCAGAUUCCAUUUUCUGUUCAACUCUUGCUGGCUAUUUCUUUCUUCUUCUUUUUUUCUCUUCUUUUUUACCAACUGUACUUAGUAUAGUUAGCUAAGGGCUUGAUGGUUGAUACCCGAGAUCUUAAGUUCGAAGACUAGUUACUUCACAUUUCUAAUUGAGUUCAUUUUUACAAUAAAUGAACAAAGUGGGUAGCUUGCUCUUUCUCUCUUUCAAAGAAAAAAAAAAAACAAAAUCUUGCUGGAAUUUUGUAGAACCAAUGAGUUUUAGCAUUGACAGAAAGCCUUGGUUUUUUUUGCCUAUGGUAUUUCAAAAUGAAUUGAAACAUAUUCUGUACUUGAUCGCCUACAAGAGCGUUAUUAUGCUCCCUUAGUAUUAUAAUUUGCCCAGUAAUAUGUACUUUGAACUGUUUCAGUGAUAAGAUUUGUUGAAGGCAUCUAAUUUACCUUUGUCUAAACCUGCAGUAUAACUGGUGGUUGGUUAAAUCCGCCUCUUCGCUUUCAUGAUGAACCUUGUCGGCAUAAGCUUUUAGAUCUUGUGGGUGACAUCUCUCUUUUUGCACAGAAUGGUAAUCAAGGGCUUCCACUCGCUCAUAUUAUUGCAUAUAAGGUUUGUUCUCUGUUUCUAUUCUAUGUGAAUUGAUAUCGACAAAUUUUGUUUGUUUGGUAUCAAUUUUUAGGAAGAAUGUUGAGAAUUAUGGGUACAUGUUUGCGCAUAGGAUGGGGUUUUCUGCACGAUAGCUUGUGGGAGGCAUGAAAUUCUUAUGAUUGUUGAUGUUUGUUCUUAUCCAAUCUUUUUACUGAAAAGUAUAGUGUGAUUCAUAGGCUGACAUGGCAGAAGUAAGAUAAUCAUGCCAAUACGCAAAGUAUUCAGUUGAUUUAUAUACUCUAUUAAAACUACUAUAUUCACACCGAAGUUGCUUCUCGGCUAAUACAUUUACUUUUUCACUACUAAAUUUUUAACUCAUUUUAAAUGUUGGAUAUACUGCUUGAUAUGUGGAUACAUGUCUUCUGAAUUUUUACUCUCGACUACUAGUUCAGUUACUUUUGUUGAAAUUAUUGUGAGAAAUACUGUUUAACUUUGAGCAUGCCGAGUGCUUUUGGCUACAAGAAUUAUUCGAGAUCACGACUUAUAUUACUCUAUCUAUCAUCUUUACCUUUUUCUUUUAAUAUGUGAAAAAGAUCAUUUCGUUAUCUGGUGGCUUAUGGGUUUUGAAUUGUGAAAAAGGCUGGGCAUUCAUUGCACACCGGAUUCGUACGGCGCCUUCGAGAAUAUGCUGAUGUAUAAAAGAGAAAGCUUGACUUGGAAAAUCAAAUUGCUAAUUAUGCUACUUGAUUGGCAUCUACCUUCAGGUACACUACCCUCUCUCGUAUCAGCGAUACUGUAAAAUUAGUGUGGCCUGUAACUUUCAGAGAUCUUGCAUCAGUCAUACUUCGGGUACUAACCUUUUCCAUGUUGCCAACUGUAGAAUUAGCUUGUAUUUUAUUAAGAUGAUUUCGUUCAAUUCAGCCUCCUUUGUCGGCUGAGCAAUGCCAUCUGUGCACCUAUAUAUCGGAAUCUUACAUCCUGGUCAUCCAAAGGCUAAUAUUUACUCACUAAUCUUAUCAAUCUCUUAAUUUUUUAGUACUAACAUUCAAAAGAGGUUUUUAAUCCAUUAGAUGGGUGGGCAUAAGUUUUAACUUGCACCCUACAUAUAGGGUGUUAAAGUAAGCAUUUUCCUUCAAGAUUUAAACUUCUUUCUUUUUCGCUUGAUAAAAUGAUAAAGUUGAGUCUGAUAUUGGCAGUUUAAUCAUUGUUUUUGUAGUUGAAGUUCAUGACAAUUUGAAGCAUAUUUUGCCAGAAUUUUUUAUGAUGGUAGUCUCAACAGCCUCUGAACUUUACAAGAGCUCUGUUAAAUAUUCUCGUAAGUUCACAUUUGGCAUUGUUGCUCUUUUUUGUAUUUUUUUCCCUCAAUAUAAUUUCUACAUGAAAUCGUGUUGGAGGGAAUGGUGGAUUAUUUACAAUUUCUACAUCCAUAAUAUUUGCUUCAACUAGAAGUAGUUUCCAUUUUUUUUUUUUUUAUUUUAUGGAAGCUACCUUCCAAUCAUCAUUUGGUCGAGUUGUUUUGCAAGCUAACCAUGACAACAAAAGAAAAUCCUUCCUCUUAUUGAAUUAGAUAAAAUUGAUGUUUAAAAAACACAAAACACUGAUAAUGAUGUGAAAGAGGCCUAACUUUAAAUUUUUGCAAUUAAAUUUCUUAAAUUUAAUUAAAUAGUUCAGUUGGUCUUUCUUGGCAAACUAAGUUGUUAAUUGAGCAAUUGGCUGGUGCCUUAGUCUUAUGGACGAUCCAUUACAAUUUUAUUCAGCCAUCUCUUAUUUUCUUUAUUUUUUUUUCUUAAAACUACAUUAUGAAAGCAAAAUAAAUCUAUACUAGUGUAGUGACCCGCGCGUUACGCCGGAUAAAUAUUGUUAAAGUGAAAAUUUGUAAAGAAUAAAAUAUCAGUUUAGUAUAAAAGAUAAUAAAUAUAGUCUAUAUUCUAGACAAAUAUUUUUAAAAAAUAAAACAAUGAUGAAGAAGAAUUUAAUUUUUUCAACAAAACUAUUCAAUAUUGUUCAAGAGAAGUCGCAUAUCAUAUAAGUGGAUGAUUAAAAUUAUUUUUAUAACACAAUAAUCAAAUUGAGGGAAAAAAAAAAAGAAAAAAAAAAAGUAGGUCUCACUCUUCUCGAAAUUAAGAUGGUGGAUACACGUAGGAUUUAGUAAUGAAGAUUGAUGUAUAGGUGUAUAUAGAUACCACUAGAUUGAUUAAUGUCUUGGAAAUGAAGGGGCUGGAUUUGACCUUUUAUCGGUCACAUGACUUAUUGGAUGUUGCAAAAUUUAAAGGAAUUAAAAAAAAGAGAGAAAAGGAUACAUGAUUGCAGUAAGUUAAUUGUGGGACCCAAGAGAAUAAGAAAGUUAAGGAAGCAGGGCUAGCGUAGUCUUAGGAUGAGUAGCUCUUUUGAGAGUGGAGCGUCACAAUUAGUAUUAAAGCUAAUUAUUAGUCGGAAAUAUGAGAUGAGUUUUAAUGAGUCAGGAUUAUACAGUGGACAGAGUGAGGCUCUCUGACUGGUGACUGUUGUGGGUGGAGUGAGGCUCUCCAUAAAGUCAGUUAAGGCUAGCAAGACGAGUUUCACAUCAUCUAAUACUUGUGACUGUUUUUGAGUAUGACGAAAACGUCGGGACUUAAAAGGGGGGAUGUGAGACCCCAGGAUUUGGAAUUGUUCUAUAUGUAUCUCAUAAUUGGACUAAAUCGCUUAACUUGGCUAUAGCAUUUUAGUCCGGUGGUUUGGGCCCGACGAGCUAUUAUUGCUAGCAGGUCGUAUCGUUACGUUUUGUAUCAGAGUCUAAUAACUAGCCGGAAGUAUGAGAUAAAUCUCAUGUCGCCAGGUGAAUCCAGGGUUAUGUGUGUGAUUGGGCCAUAUGUGAUUGGGCCAGGCUGACGAGGACGUUAGAGUCUAAAGCGAGGGGAGUAUGUAACACCCUAAUAAUUCCACAUCAGAUAAUGUAGGAAAGUGUAAUGGGUUUAUAAGUGAUGAACAUAUUAGUAAUAGUAACUGGGCUUAAGCAUUGUUGGGCUGGUUUGAGCCUAACGAGUUAUUAUUGCUAGUGGGUCGGGUCGUUAUGUGUGAGAUUGGGCCCGAUUAACGAGGACGUCAGGAUCCAAACGAGGGACGGACAUAUUGAGCUUAAGGAUUUUGGCCCAAAUUCAAGUUAUUAUUAUUAUUAGCAGGUUGGAUCGUUAUACUAAUUGAUUGAAUAGUUAGUUUUAACUUUUUAAAUUUGUGGUGGCCAUCUCUAAAUGUGAGAGUGGUCGGACGAAUUAGGCAAUUUUGAUUUUGAUGUUUUGGUCUCUGUGGCAAAAUUUCAUAUGUAUGUAACACAAUGAUCCUAAUUCAAAAGUAAUACUUGAUAAAAUGGAUCUUAAUUCUAUUUAUCUUUGCAGAAAAGUAUUCAAAAAACAAAUAUAGAAAAGGAAAAAAAUGUUGAAAAAUGGCUACCUGUAUGCCCCACGUAAGGGUGUAUGCAUCAUUACAUGUUAAGUGUUUACAAAACUACACUGGGUUUUAGUUUGUAAAAUGAAAUUAUUAGACAAGAAAAUAAAUCUAGGUCAUAGAAUGUUUAAGGUCAAUUUCACCAAUCACCAAAAUUUAAAAUUUGACUCCAACAUUAGAAUUAGAUUUUAGAAAGCAGAUUUUAGGUGCUUCUAAUUUUGGAUCUUAAAAAUUAAAAUAUUAAUUUUAAAAUUUAGAAUCAAAUUUUGAAAAAACUUUAUCGAAAGAGAAAUUAUUUUUGGCCCUAAAUCAUUCUCAAAAUCCAGGCCCAACAGUCACAUGGCCACAUGCACCGUAGCCUCUUUAUAUUUUGGAUUAAUCCACUUAUAUGUUAAUGAAAGGGGUUGGUUUUAUCUUAAAAAAUUUUUAUAAAACGAAUUAUAACCAAACUUUGGUAUAUAAGAUACAAGUUUUUUACCAAAAAAUCUUUUACUUUGGCCCUUAAAAUUUGUAAUAUUUUAAUUUUGGGAUAAUAUCAAAUAUGUCUUUCAAAAACUUCAAAAAUAUCCUAUCUAUUCUUGGAGGACCAAAAUACCCUUAUUGAAUUUAAAAAAAUUCUUUCAAAUAUCCUCAAUUUUCAGGUUUACUAAUAGAAUAAGAAUUUAGAAAAGCAUUUCGAUAAUCACUGGAUAAAUUUAAAAAUUUUUAAUAGUAAUAAAAGGUAAAAAUAAGCAAAAGCUUCUUUUAAUUUUCACUAUACCAUAAUUAGAACUUUCAUAUAAUUUAUAAAAAGUUUUCUUUUUUAGUGAGAAAGGUCGCAUGUUAUCUGCCUUCGUUUAUUUCUUUUAGAAUAAAUUUAGCUAAAAAUGUGAAUCAAUUAGAAUUCGAACUUGAAACUUCAGGUACCAACCAUCGAGUCUUUUUGCUACUUGCACUAGGAACAGUCGGUUGUAAUUUUUAAAAAGUUGAGUAGGGUCAUGGCAAUUGUGGGCCUCUUAGUAGUUCUGUCUCUGCAAUAGGCUGCUUUUAUCAACAGUCUUCCAAAAGCCAUGAUGAAUUUAGACUUCAACAAAGAGGGAGAGGAAAAGUCUGCAGUCAAUGAUCAAGUUUCUAAUUCUUAUUCUUCACAGGCACUGAUAGUGACCUUUGAGGAUGUUAGCCAGCACUGAGGAGGAAUCACAUUCAAACCCUAUCCUUUUGGUCUACAACACUCUCACGGACUUAGAAAUUUUGCUCACAAAAUUCAUGUGGCGCCUACCUUUCUCAGUAAAGAUGGAUAAGUUUUGCUCUCUAUUUGAUAUCCUGAAUCUUCGCGUCCUACGACUAAGUGCAAAAAAGAGAAACCGCGACACUAUGCUUCUGCUACUUCUGCAUUAUCUUAUGGACAAUUUUAAAUUUGCAUAUCUGUGGUUUAACUCAUUUUUUACUUUGUUAUUCUUUGAUUUAACAAGUCAUUCUUGGCUAUUCUGCGAUUUUUAUCUCUAAUUUUAUCUAAAAAAAUUACUAUCAAAUAGGAUAGCAAAGUAAAUUCUUUUGAUAAUUAAGUGUAACUCUUUGAACUACAGAAUCACAAAGUGAAAAUGAGCUAAACGCCGGAAUAGUUAUAUGUAAUUUUUUUGAACCGCAGGAGGGCAAAGUACCACGGUGGACAAAGUGAAGUUUUAAAUAAAAAAUUUUACUUGGUCCCUCUAAAAGUGUGCAAGUCUUACAUAUUUCACCCCAGAGUUCAUAAAAAUUUAAAUAGCUUAUAGCGAAGAAAAAGAAAGUUGAAAUGAUAAGUAAAAUAAAAUAAAAUCCCUUAAAUAAAGAGGGUGCAAGAUGUAUAUCUCACUUUGAGAUGUAUCAGUAGUAUUGCUCAUUUUAAUAUUCUCGUACGAUAGGGUGAAAGCAGUUCGAAUAUGAACAGAUAUUUAAUGAAAAUCUAUGUAUUUUCGGAUAUGAAUGCGAAUACGAAUAUGUGUUAGCUAUUGAGUUUUCGUUACCAUAUCUGUUAAAACUAGAUACAGAUACGGUCGUGUAUUUUUUUUGGAUUCGAAUAUGACUCGAAUAUAUAUUCAGUUAUUAUUGAAAUCAUAAUAUACAUUAGCUAAUAUGCACAUAAAAAAUGUUCUAGAAUUAACAACAAUGUAACUCGUAUUUUCACAUUCAGACUCAAACUUUUAUAUUCCUAUAUUUGAUCGAAUAAAAUUUAAGAUUUAAUAAACUCAAAUGUAAUUUUUAUAUAAAACUGAUAAUAAUACAAACAAAAAACACUAAAAACCAUCUUAUUUCUCCACAAGUAUAUAUUAUCUUUCAAAAAAAGAAAAAAAGAAAAAACAAUCAAACUCCUCCUUAUCUCCCAACAGAUAGUAAUUAAGCCGCAUAAAUAAAAAAAAAAAGAGAAAUUAAAUCCUCCGUAUCUUCCCACACAUAUUUUUUUAAAAGCACAAUAUUGAAAUAGGAGAAUGAGAUAUUGGAAUAUUGGGAUCGGGGAAUUAGGAGAAGAGAAUAUUGAGAAUUAAAAUAUUCAUUUAACUAGUAAUAUAAAAUAAAAUAAAAUAUUAUUAGAAAAUUUGGAUAUCUGUAGCAAUAUUUAUUGUUUUAAAAUAUUUGAAUAAUUUUUUUUUUGACAGAUAGAUAGCACGCUACCCGCUUUGUUUAUUUUAUUUAAAAAUAAACUUAGCUGGAAAUGUGAAUCAACUAGAAUUCAAACUUGGGUCUCGGACAUCAACUACCAAGUCCUUUGCCACUUGCUCUAUAUUCGAAUAAUUUUGAUUCUGUAAAAUUAUAUCUGUAUUCAUAUCCGAUCGGAUUCACAUAUUUUCUAUCCAGUGUGAAUAAUGUCCUUUAUUUUCAGGUGUUAUUCUAUCUGCUUUCAUCGUUGCUUGUUGGAGACGCAGUCACGGGGGAAGCGAGUAGAUUUACCACUUUUAGGAAAACCUACCCCGGCUCUAUCAUUUGACCGACCCAUUACUAUUUGGGCUUUUUUUGGCAUUUAGUCCCCUCAAAGAUUUCUUUUUCGUAAAUUAUCUCCACAAAAUUUAUAUUUGUAAAAUUAGUCCUAUCUCUGCCACACGGGCGUCACGUGAGCACCACGCGAGCAUGAAUGACGGUGGAGAUUAAGUUGAACACGAUAAACCAUUCAUCAUGUUUGGACACGAUAAAUGAUUCAUUCUGUUUUAUUAUUUUUCUACCACAAUAUUAAAUAAUAUUAAGGGCUUAGAAUUUAGAAAGGACGUGAUGAAUCAUCUACCGUAUCUAAACACGAUAAAUGAUUCACCAAAUUCAACUUAGUCUAGACUGCCACACCCAUG